rnacentral:lncRNA from 1 species
ACUAAGGCUCAUUAGGUGGAUUCUUCUACUACAAGAGUUUGAUCUAGAGAUAAGAGACAAGAAAGGCAAGAAAAACCUUGUGGCCAACCAUCUUAGCCGACUUCCCUCUAGCUCUGUGCCAUGUCCAGUCAAAGAAGAGUUCCAAGAAGAACAUCUGUUCGUCGCUCAUUCAACCUAAGUGGAUCGCACCAUGCACCUUAUACCCCAGGGGAGUACUCAGUUUCCUUUGUUCUUUUAUGUUUCUUAUACAUUAAGGAGAAUGCAUGAUUUAGGUGUGGGGGUGCAUAUCUCCUCUUCUUCUUCUCUUCUUCUCUUCUUUUCUUCUUCUUCUUCUUUUCCUUUCAGUUCUGCGAAUUUACAUGGCCUUCAGUCUGCUAAACUUUUUCAUUUUCCUUUCAGAUUUGCGAUUUUUGCUUGUUUCAGUUCAUGCGAUUUUUGCUUUCAGUUUUCCCUUUAGUUUGUUUUCAUUUAUGCUUUCAAUAACACACACACAACUACAACCUUCUUCAUCUUUUUGAUUUGCUCUACUCAAACUGAUGAACUAUGUUGGAUGAGCUUUUCUUUCCAUGACCCCAGUGAUGUGAUGACUGUUUAAACUUAUGUUGAAUCAAUUGUAGUGAGUUAUAUUCAUGUUUGAGAAUUGCCUUUUGAAUUGAAUCUUUGAGCUUGCCAUGGUGAAAAAUGUAUUGAUGACACUCAUUAGAGAGAAUAAAUUGAAAAUUGUGUGAAUGAACUUAACAUGACUUAUUUUAGUAAUUGGUGUUGAUUUGCCCGAAUCAUUGAGAGAAAGAAAAUUCAGCAAAGGCAAAGACCUCAUGAGCAUAAAUUCAAAACUGUUUCAAUGGUUGAAAAACUAUGAACAGAGCUAGUAGCCACUUGGACAGGUGACCAACUGAGUAACUGGGGGUGGGUAUCACCAAUAUGUACCUUGACGUCAAAAGGUUGGUGACUUUUUCAAGCAAGAUCUAAGUGCAAAAGACUGAAUAAAGUACUUCAAGGUAAGGGCAAGUCAAUUCAAAAGCUAAAAAGAGUCUUAACUGAACAAACAAUAUGUGCAUGUAUGAUCUCUCUCUUGAGUAAAAUAAAUCCUAGCCAUGGUAAGUAAAGGGAAAUAAGGAAAGAAGGUGAGUAAUCUUCAUGCAUAUAUUCUUCACUGCAAUGCUUCAAAAUAGGUGUCUUGAGUAAGAGCUUAGGUGCACAUAAAGAAUCUAGAGCAAAGAGAGCUUGUUUGACUAUAUUUAUUUGCUUGAGGACAAGCAAAAGGCUAGGUGUGGGGGUAUUUGAUAGAGCAUAAAUUAGUCCAUUUUAUCUUGAUAUUAUUGAUUAUUAUUUACAUGAUUUCUGCUUAAUUUAGUGCUGUUGACAUUAUUUUGCAGAAAAUGGUGAAAAAAGAUAUUUUGGAGAAAAUACCCUUAAAACUGCCUUAAAUGGAGCAAAGGAGAGCAAGCCUGCCAAGUUGAAAUCAAGUGAAGCUAAAUAAGGAAAGUAGCAAAGAAGGAAAGAACAUUCAGCCAAAGCAAUUUGAAAUUCAAAUUUCAAAUCUCCAAGUAGCCUUUUCCUUAUUCAAGAAGCCAAGUCUCAAGUUACCAUAUAUGAAGAGCCAAAUAAGGAAAGUAUUUUGAAAUUCAAAUAUUCAAUAUUCAUAUUCAAAUUUUGAAUUUCAAAAUCCAGCUUACUAAGGAAGCCAAAUCCAAAGAUCACAUGCUUGCCACUUCAUGCCUUGCACAUUCAAAAUUCAAAUUGCAAAGGAGGCUCAACCUUCCUUAUUAGUGCAUGGGCAGAAAGGAGAGUGUGAAGGCAAGUCUUGGACACCUUGGGCAGCAUCUUGAAGACACUAGGGCAGCAAGCAAAGACCAAAAGACCCACUCUUGCACAAGCUACCCAUGCCCCACGUUUUUCCCUUCUCACAUGUGCAUGGAUGGCACAUCUUGGACCAAGGGCAUUUUGGACAACCUCUUAAAGACUCAUGGACAGCUAAGAAACCCUAGGCCAGCAUCUUAAAACAUAUUUAAAGACUCCAAAGAGGCCAGCCGACCAGCACUCUUCAUCACACCAUUCGACCAAGGCAAGGGAGGCGCACCAAGCUCCAUCUCCUCCAUUCGGUUCCCCUUUUCAUCUUCUCUUCUUGUUUUUUAUUUUUGUUUCAGUCAUGAGUGGCUGGAACCUUUUAUUCUAGUUGAAGAUUGAUUGAAACUAAGGUUGUUUUAUGGAUUGUGAGAUCUGAACAUAAACUAUUUGUCUUUGAUUUGUUCAAUAUUCAUACAAUUUGGUGCUUGAAUCUAUGAUUACUUUGUUGUUUUGAUCAAAUUGGCCACUUGAUUCUUGAUUGCAAAGUAAUUGAUUGUUAGUUUGGAUAAUUUUUAGUCCGUAAUUGCUGGAAUUAUUCAAAUAUAAGAACACUUGGUGUAACAACUAAGGGAUUGUAUGAUCUAGCAACAUCUCCAUGCGUUUGGGUAGCUAGGAUUGGAUCUCUCUAUUUCUUCAUGCAAUUGACAAUUGUUUUAAUGCCUAAGGCCCAAGGACGUUCCUUGGCAAUUUGUUAAUUAGUAAUUGAUUAGAGGACGUUCCCUAAUUGAUUUAAUCAUAAGGAGAGACAUGGUGGUGAGAAGCGUUUUCCAUCUCCAUAACUAAUCUAUUGAACCAAUCAAGAGAACAUAAGUUUCAAUGAUCAAUCCGAACAACCAAAGUGGAUCCAUCUCUUCAACUAGACCUUUCUCAUAUUGAAUUUCCCUUUUAUUUAAUUACUUGCUCAUUUAAUUGCUUUCAGUAGUUUGCUAAUCAAAUCAAUCUCAAAACCCCCCUUUUUACUUUUAUUGCACUUUAUUUUUGUUUCACUUUCAGUUACUUGCUUUCAGCUUCUUAUUCAGUUAAUUCUCUUAAUAUUGUUGAGAAAAAUAGAUAAAUUUUCAAUUCUCUAUGGAUUCGAUCCUUUACCACUAUCUGCAGUUGUAAAAUUAUUGAUAACCGGAAAGGUUAUUUUUGACCGGCUUCGACAACUGCGAGUCACAUAACCAAACAUUGUCUUUAAUCGGACAAUCAUAAAGGUUAUGAUUGAGCAUAAUAGAAAUUAUGUAGAGGAUAAUGAACAAUCAAGAUAGUAUUUGUCCCUCUCUCUGAUAGAGAUAUCUUCUGGGCCCCUCGAUAAGUGAGACUGAGAAAUGCAUGGCUGUGUUCAAAUGAAUUGAUAGUGUAAUCAAUAUCAUUUGAAUUUAUCAGUCUACUUAGAGAUCGAGAAAUCAUAAGUUUGAACAUUAUAAGUUUGACAUUGACUAUGACUUAUGUUCAAACUAGAUAUCGUGUGACAAAUGGAUUAAUACAUGUUCUAUUUAUUAGGCUUUAUUGGACUAUUGAUCCUCAUAUUAGUUGGGUAGUCAUAAUGUCUUGCUAGAGGCAACUUAUGACUUAUGGGUCUUGUGGGACUGGGCCUAUUGCCAAUUAAUGUGAGUCUAUUGGGUCACACAUAAAAGAACAUUGUUGAUGUGCUAUGACAUAUUAAUGGGCUAAAAGUUCAAAGCACAUUAAUAUAAAUAAUAAUAAUAAAGUGUUAUUAUUAUUAAUAUUAAUUAAUAAUAAUAAAGUGUUAUUGUUAUUAAUUAUUUAUUAUUAUGAGAUAAUAAUAUUUAAAAGAUCUGCAGUCUAUCUGUAACUGUUACAGAUAAAAGACUCUAUCACAUAAGAUAUUUGAGUAUCUUUGAGAUUGUGAUAGUGGAUUAUGAACACAACUCCUUUUUAGGAAAGGAAGUUGUGGGAAAAACAAAAAACUGAAACAUAUAAAUACUUCUUCUAUGAAUUGUGGAAAAGGGGAUGUUAAUUUUUGAGAAAAAAUUCAGUCUAACUAUUGCAGAUUGUGGAGCACAUAAUCUAUCCAUCUUUGAGAGAACUAGCACUCUAGAAGGAUAGAAGACGUUCGUGUGGAUACCAUAGAGGGUGUUCGUUUGAAAAAGCAGCACCAUCAGUCCGGCAUUGUAUCUUCUUGACGAGAUUAACAGGUUAGUCUAAUAUCCUUCUUAUGAAAUAAACGAAGCACUCGGAUUCUGGGAAAAGGAAAUCAGAGAAAUUUUAUUUUUCCACUGCGCCUUUGGGUUGCCCUAGUUUAUGUUUUGUAAAUCCCAAUGAACAUGUUGUUAUGUAAAAGUUUUUUUAUAAUGAGUUAUGUUGAUCCAAGCUUGAUGUAUAUGAUGUUAACCAUACUAGAGCAUUUGAUGAGGGCUCUAGUGUGGGUUUUAUGUUUACAGUUUAUGAAGAAUGUACAGGUCGAGCUUGGAAUAUGAAAAGUUUGAAAUUUUUAUGAAAAUGUAUGUUCAUGUAUAGGAUUUUAUCAGGUACACAGAAUGCAUAGUAGGCUUGCUACGGGUUCCGGCGACCUUAAGUCGAUCUGAAUCCUAGCGCCGGUAGUGGUUCGAUUUCCGGAUCAUUACAAGUGCCCGAUUUCGACAUAAUUACUUUCAUCGCAAAACUUGCCAAGUCUGCCACCCAUGAUACCCUCAGUACCCGAUUUCGGCAUAAGUACUUACAUCACAAAAUUGCCAGGUCUACCACUCCUGCUACCUUUGAUGGCCGAUUUUUCCAGAAUUGCUUUCAUCGCAAAAAUUGCCAAGUCUACCACAAGUGCCCAAUUUCGGCAUAACUGCUUUUAUCGCAAAAUUUGCUAAGUCAAUCACCAAUGCUAACACAGGUGCUGAAUUUUGACAGAACUGCUUUCAUCACAAUAAUUGCCAAGUCUACCACCCAUGCUAUCACCGGUACUGAUAUCGACAGAACUACUUCCAUCGUAAAAAUUGCCAAGUCCACCACCCAUGCUACCAUCAUGUCCAAUUUUGGUAUAACUGCUUCCAUCGCAAAACUUGCCAAGUCUACCACCCAUGCUGCCACCGGUGCCCGAUUUUCCCACAAGUGCUUCCAUUGCAACAAUUUCUAAGUCUUCCACCCAUGCUACCAGCGGUGCGUGAUUUCGACAUAACUUUUUGCAUUGCAAAGUUGCCAAGUAUACAACCCAUGCUAUCACCGAUAUCCAAUUUCGCCAUAACUGCUUCCAUCACAAAAAUUGCUAAGUCUACCACCCAUACUACCAGCGGAGUCUGAUUUCGGCAUAAUUGCUUCCAUCGCCCAAAUUGCCAAGUCCACCACCGUGCCCAAUUUCGGCAUAACUGCUUCCAUUGUAAAAAUUUCUAAGUCUACGACCCGUGCUACCACUAGUGCCUAAUUUCGGCCGAAGUGCUUUAGUAUCGUGGGUGGCAUACUUGGCAAUUGAUGUGAUGGAAGCAGUUAUACCGAAAUCAGGUACUGGUGGUAGCAUGGGUGGUGGACUUAGCAAUUGUUGGGAGUCCGAUUUCGGCAUAAUUGCUUCUAUCGCCCAAGUUGCCAAGUCCACCACCGUGCCCAAUUUCGGCAUAACUGCUUCCAUUGUAAAAAUUUCCAAGUCUAUGACUCGUGCUGCCACUAGUGCCCGAUUUCGGCCGAAGUGCUUUAGUAUCGUGGGUGGUAUACUUGGCAAUUGUUGCGAUGGAAGCAUUUAUACCGAAAUCAGGUACUGAUGGUAGCAUGGGUGGUGGACUUAGCAAUUGUUGCAAUGGAAGCAACUCUGUCGAAAUCGUGCGCCGGUGGUUGCAUGGGUGGUAAACUGGGCAGUUUUUGCAUUGGAACUAGUUCUGCCAAAAUCGGGCACUGGUGGUAGCAGGAGUAGUAAACUUGAAAAUUUUUGCGAUAGAAGCAACUCUGUCAAAAUCGGGCGCCGAUGGUAGCAUGAGUGAUAGACUUGGCAAUUUAUUUGACGAAAGCAACUCUGUCGAAAUCAUACACCAAUAGUAACAUGGUGAUAGAUUUGGCAAUUUUUGCGAUGGAAGCAACUCUGCCGAAAUUGGACACCAUGGUAGCAUGUGUGGUGGACUUGAAAAUUUUUGCUAUGGAAACAACUCUGUUGAAAUUGCACUCCAAAUUCGAACCUUGAACCCCAAACCCUGAACUUUGAACCCUAAACCCGGAACCUUAAACUCUAAAUCCAAAACCCUGAACCCUAAAACUGAAUCCUAAAUCUUGUACCGUAAACCCUAAACCUUUGUCAUAAGUUUAUUAUUCCAUUGAUUGCUUCUUCUUUUUUCUUUUACGGAGCAUAUUUUUGGACUUUUAUAGUUAUGCUGCUAAAAUUAUGCUUUUUUUUUUCUUUUCUUUGAGUCUACUUCGUGGAUUUUGUGUUACUUCACUCAAGGUUUUUAUUCUUAGCUGCUUUACUUAGAAAGAGUUGCUUAGUCAUUCUAUAAUCGCCUUAAAAGUAAGUAUGAUAGACAGUGAGAAAAAGUAUUUUAAAUGGACUCAUUUUAAUAAAUUAGAAUUUGGUAUCCAGUGAUAAAAAAAAAAAAAAAACUAAUUAAUUUUUUAAUACAAUGAAAUUUUACAGAAUCUAUUAAUUAGUCUCUUAAUUAAAUUUUCAUACUGCAUCAACUAAAUAAAAUUUCAAAUUACUUAAAAUUAAUAUUGCAUAUGAAUUUUAUCGUCCGUGUGAAUGUUUAUUAACACUGUUCAUACAAAAUCCUUCUUUUUUUAAUCCCUCUAUUUAUACACUCACUCAAUGAGAACAAUACAAAAUCCUUCUUUUUGUAACAGCUUGUUAAUUUGAGGUAUCACACUUUAUCACCAAGUAAAGCUUAGCUUUUGAAGUGAAAUUUGUUAAGCAAUGAAUACUAGGUCUGUUUUUCAAAUUCUCUGACAGUGAAAACACCAUUUGAAUUCUGUAAUUUGAAAGACAAAUUAUAUAUUGUCAUAUUAUACAAAUAAAAAUGGUAAAAUUUCAAUUUCCAGAUCCACGAAAAGAUUGAGAUUGAAACAAAGAAUCACAUUUUUGAACGCUCGCAUAAUCAUAUCUUAUCUCUGUAGUAAAGAAAUCACCACCUGUUUUGAGUGACAAUUAAAGAGUAUCCAUAGUUUGCAAUAGAAAAUUGAAGUCAUCUUCUUUGACGAAGUAGCUGUGGCGGGUCCACAUCAGAUAGGCUUAUUCCAUCGAAUGAUCGGAAUAUCUCUUCCAUUGAAAAAGGUAUGCUGAAAAUUUUGAAAUGCUUCAACUACGAAUUUUUACAAUUGGAAGAUAUUUUUUUAUUAAGUUUUGUUGACUGUAAUUGUUACCUUGAAUCAACAUCGAGCAAGAAAGAAUAGUUAUUGGGCAUGUUUAUAGAAUCUUCUGCCAUUAGCGUUCUCAUCUUGCCAAUCACCUGUUGUUCCAGGCAUGAUAUAAGAAAUUUAAUAUUAAAAACUGUUUAUCUUCCCAUCGAACUGACAUGUAAUUUGGAAAACUCUAUCCUUUUCCACCUACUAUCAAAUUAUAAAUUAUUUUUCAGUGCAGAAGAAAAGGGUAAGUACGAGUAUGAUUUUUGUGCACACAUUAGUAUGUUUCAACUUAGAAGUGAAAAGAUAGAGAUGAUAUUUUAGGUGCUCUUUUUCAGUUUGCCCUUUUCUUCACUUCUAAUUAUUCCUCCGUUUUUAGAGGUUGUGGGACUGGGACUAGUGUAGAACUAUUGAAAUAGGGAAAACUGUGCACUAUGCCACUAUCACUUACAUCUGGAGAUAAUCCCUGUGUUCCGUAUUUAUCAUCCCAGAACAUUGUCCCAAUGCGAUAUAUUUGCGGAAUGCUCAACAUCUAAGCAACAAAUAAAACAGAGAUGUUAGUCAGUGCCAGGAGUUUAUCAACCCGUCCUCUAGAUUUUAAGAGAUCAGAUAGCUGACUCAACUAAGCUAAGUUCAUGUAUUUUCCGGUUUGUCCGCCUUUCUUUAUUCAAUAACUAUUUUCUUGUUUGUCCUCUUUUCUUUAUUCAAUAAUCAUUGUUUUAAUUUUUAACUUCCCUUAUGUCAAUUUUAUUUUUAUUUUGCAACCUUUACAUCGAACAGUGAGUUAAGGUGCUCUUUUCCAAACCAUAUACUGGAUCAUUUACCGGGCAUAAUUCAUUUGUGAUCUCGUCAGCAGAUUUUUGAGCUUUUUGAUGCAACACCUGUGCAGAUUAACCAUAUAAUCUGUUACUAACAUCAUGAAUCCUAAACUCAAAACAAUCAUUUGGUUUGCUAAUCUAGGUUUAAGAAAAUGUACCAGAAACCCCACAGCUUGCCUUAUGUGUUGGAGUUCAUCCAAUGAUGAUCCUGCAAACUGUGAAAUAUUGAAUAAAUAACUUUUUUGCUUGCCAUUGCUUUGUCCUUUGCAUAUGUUAGUCGCAUUUUUUAGCUUACCUGAUUUGAUACUUUCUGGCACCACUGUUCCAAUUCCUGCAAACCUGCCUUCAGAUAUUCUCCAUUGCUAAACGAGCAGAACUCACGCCGAAGCAAUAAGCUGCUAGGACAAUAAUUUGGAUAUGGAGACUCCUAUGAGAAAGUUGAUUUAGUUAUUAUGCUUAAUGAUGAAUUGGAAUUGAUGCUCUUCUUACCUGUUAAAGAGCUGUACGUUUAUGAAUGAGAAAACCUGACUGAAAAUUUUCCUUGUGAACACAGGAGAGACCUGAAAUUGCCAAAAGUUAGUUGAAAGGCAUUGCGAAAUAUUAUCGUUGACACAAAAAAAUGAAAAGCUGAUAUUUUUAUGCUUACAUUAUUCUCUGACAUUAUACUCAAGGUAUUGUCUAGCUUAUUAACAAUGCUUUGCCAAUGUAUGUUUGAUGCUUGCUGUCUUGCAACAAUAUUUGAAUGAAUGUUUUUAGAUGACCCUCUUAUUGAUCUAGCUCUCAUUGAUCUCGGUGCCUGUCAUGGUGAUCAAGAAAAAAUAAAGUGACUGCAAAAUCCCUUUUUUUAUUUUUUCAUAACAUUUUUGUCAUAUGAAUUUGUGCUUAUUCUACCUGGAUGCACAAAUUCAAUAACAAACUUAUCUCCUUCUUGACACUAUCACGGAUCAGCCCAUAUAUUUUCUCAACACAUGCAGUUAGAUGUUGCUUAAAUAGCAGUGCUGGAUACUUGGCUUCCACUUUUAACUGCUCACUGGAUUUUCCCACCAUUCCACUGUACCCACUUGACACUCCUAUACCCAUUGAAGGUGGUUGGAAUCCCUAUAACACAAAUUUUCAGAUUGUAAUUUUGUACAUGGAACUAGAUGCAACAACAAUUUCAUAGAUAGAACUUACUUGUACCAUUCUUCCAAAUAAGGUUGUUGGGGAGGUUCGAUUCCGCUGUGAUGAUGCAUUCUGCAUGUUGCUUGCCUUAAGUGUACUUUGGAGAAGAAACAAAAGAGUAGAAGUUGUUGAGAGCCAAUAUGUUAGGUUACUGGUGUUAUCUUCACUCUUCAAAAACAUAUUCAGGAGAUCAGUAUCACAACUUUGAGGCUAUCAUAUAACAAUAUAUAAAAUGCAUUCAACUCUAGUUAGGAGUGUAAUGGACUGAGCCAAGCCCAGCCAAGACUUCCACACGUUUAGGCUUAGUCCUACAUAUCUUUUAAUUGGCUCAAGCUCAAAGUGAGCCUCAAGUCAAUAUUAUAAUCCCAAGCUUAAAUUCAACUUGCUUUAUUAACUGAGCAUAUGGAGCUUAUUGAGGAGCUAUUUUAUGAUUGAACUAGUUGCACUAAUAGACUUAACCCAAGGUUAAUAUUGUUAUGUUGAAGGAGCACCUCUACACAGGAUUUGAUUGUCUGAAUGAUUCUAUCAAAUAUAUUUGUCUUCUCUGCUUCAAAGGAUCUCCAUUGAAGAAGUGAUUUGUAUACAACACAGGCAGCAACAGGUCUGCUCUUAUCAAACUGUUUGUCUUCCACAAGACAUUUGAUGAGUACAUCAUGGUUUUCCUGUGACAGGGCAGACAAUGAUAGAUUGUACUUUGAGUGACUGCACAAAUGAUUCACUAAAUACUGUUUUAAUUUAUUUAAUUGGCAUGUGUGAGAGUUCAUCUUUCAGAUGAUGUUUACCUGUUGCCUAUCUGUUAGGGAUCUUUGUUUAGUUAAAAGGGAGACAAGAGGUUCUGGCUCCUGGAAAUAAAAUUCCCAUUGUUAGAUCUUGGAAUAAUACAUGACUAGUGUCUACUUAUUGCUGUAAGUUUAUGAAAAUGUGUACUGAAGGAGGGUGGCUCUACUUUUGUCAUUUGAGGCCCUUCCUCUAUUUUGUGCCCGUUGACAACAUUCUGCAUUCACAUGGAGGGUUAAUACUAAAUUAUGACAUAACUACUCAAGGAAUACAGCUGUGCAUAGUAGCAUACAUUGACUUGAGAUGAAACCCUUUCAGGUGUUGCUUUCUGCACCAGAACAGCUGGUCGUUUGCAGAGUAGUUCAUUCUCUGACUCCAGAUCUUUUAUCUUAUGCUUGAGGCUGGAAACAAGUCAAGGAUACAAGAAUGUAUGAUUGCAUGUUUUCCAAAUGUGUUCUUAUGCAUUUGCAUUAGAUAUGCCAGGUCAGUUGUGGCGUGUGACUAAUACUUUGUUCUUUAACAUUUCAACGCUAGUAUCUCAAAAUUAAAGAACACAACAGACUUUACUACACGUUUGGUAUGAGAGAACACAACAAACUUUUUAAGUUCUUUGUUCAAUCUUUCAUUGUGUACAAAUGAAGAACAAUUGGUAAAAAUUGGGAACUCGUCCAGAUGAGCUUGACAAAGCUUUUUCAAUAUUAUAAAGCAACCAAAAAUAGUAUCUCGAUGGAACAAGUGCAAACAAUGGUUAUAACUUUGGAGAAGAUUAAGCUAAGAUGCCUUUCAAGGUUUGGUCAAUGAUUCUUGAGUGACAAUAAUGACUUCUUUCAUCUACAGAGGCCUACCUAAGGCUUUAUCUUUUGAUAAGUAUGUCGUGUUAUAAGUACAUUGAGUAUCAUCUUCACAUGCUCUUACAAUAUGCAAGGGCUCGGGAAGUUUGGGAUGGUCUAUUUUUUUUGUUUUUUUGGAGAAUUGGGCAUGGGGAUACUUUGAACUCUGCUGUUAUUGAUAUAAAGGACGUCAAUAUUUUUUGGUCUAAGAUAAAGCAUGUUAGGUGAUAUUAAGGAUGUCAAAUUAUUUUGAAGUUGUGCUUUUUUUAUUAUUGUGUCAAAUAUUUGGAUGGAUAGAAUUGCCCCUGUACCUGUAGUUUUAGUGCUAGGUUCUUUAAUCUAUGGGUCAAGGUGGGGACUUUAAGUUGAGUGUCUUAAACUCUUAUUCAGAAUAAUUAGGGGUGAUGCUUUUCUUAAUAUUCUUUUCUCUGUUGUUUGCAUGGAGAGACUCGACUACCAUCUUAGCUUAAUCUCCUCCUAAGUAAUAACCAUUUUCUGCCCCUAUUUCUUUUCCAAACCACCGUAUAUUUUGUAUUCCAAUUUUUUCAUUAUAGUUUUGUGCAAUAAUCGAGCUUAUUUUCUGAUGUUUCUAGAGCACUCCAUGUGUACAUAAUGUGUAAGUGUGUCUGUUGAAAUAUUUUUCUGGCUCUAGAAGCAGGAAAUUGUUCGUCAGAUAUCAUUAUGAGCUUUUCCUUGUUCCUCAUUCUCGAAAAUUAAUCUAAAGAGGGACGAAACAUCAUUUCCAUAUGCCUAUAAGAAUGAAAAGUGAAGAAAAAAAAAAGAAUUACGAUAAAAAUUUCCAUCAUGGACCCAAUUCUUACAUAUCUAGUUCUUCAGAGAGACCAUUAUUUGCUGAUGCAACCAGAGCUUGCUGCCGUAGUACCUGAUUCUCAGAUUCAAGAUUGGACAAAUUCAAUUCUAAUCUGAAAACAAUAAAAUACAGUUAUUUGACCACCUUGGACAAUAAUUGAAGUGUUUCAUAACAAAUUCUAUAAAUAAUUACCUUUCGAUGGUCUCUUGGAGUUUCAUCGUUUUCAGCUGUGCUUCUUCUGCGUCUCUUAGUCUUGCGUUGCUCUCAUUUUUUAGUUUACUACACUUGUCCUCAAACUCCUCCAUUUUCAUCUUCAUCUCUCUUAGCUUAUCCUAAUAUUUUCAACACAUCAAACCAUUUGUCAAAUAAAACAAUUCUCUUCUGCGAAUGUGCCCAUGUGUUUGUAUGUCUUAUUCUGCUUGGGUGCCUUCCCUUUGAAUGGAUUUAUGUUCUUUAAUAUUUGAAUGCUGUGAAUCAUUCCCCUUUUCAGAAUUUGCAUUUGCUGAUUUUGAGCUAAGUUUUGAAUCAAUUGUUUUUGCUUUGUAUUGUGAUAGAGCAUUGCCUUUGAAUAACAAUAAACUGCAUUGGGUUCAUUUUAAUAGCAAUGAUGGUUUUGAAUGGUCAGCUGGGUUGAAAUAGUGAUAGUUGGUUGUGUUGUUGAUCUUAUGGAAAUGCUUAUAAAUGGUGCUGGUUCUAUGUGAAGUAAUGAAUUCUACUUCUUAGAUGGCACGGAGGCCACAUUAAACUUGGCAUCUAUAAUAGCUGAUCAGUGAGGCAUUUUAGAAAACAACCAACAGCCAAAUGACAAAAACGUACCAAAAUAUGUACUACAAAUUUACUAUACUUGAAAAAUUGUUGUCCAGCAUAGAAGGUUCCUAAUCAGGAAGAUUCAAAUCUUUGGGAUUCUAAUUAGACUUGAUUUAAGGGAUUUUAUUCUUAUUGUAAAUAUUUCUAAUUUAGAUUGAUUAUUUAUGUAUAAAUACUCAAACCUUAUAAAGUUCAAUUCAAUUGGAAUAGAAUAAAAAGUUACUCCUAAAAUUCUUUAUAGUAUCAGAGCUUUUUUGCUGAUUUUAGGGUUUAAAUUCAUUUUUUCUCUAAGCUUUUUUUUUAUCUCAUCGUCGCCACCAGCAGGGUCGCAAGACCAUCGCCGGCUAGCCGUCCAGUUCCGACACCAGAAAGCCAAGCGCAUGAGGCUCACGCAUCUUUUUUUAUUUUAGAGAAACUUUAUCCUGAUAUAUUUUUCAAGGCUCAAUGUGAUUUUUUAGUUUAUGAUGCUUGUGAGUAUGCUAAACAUAUAAGAACCUCUUAUUGCUCCAGUAACAAUAGAAGUACGACCUCUUUUGUGACCAUCUAUUUUGAUGUUUGGGGACCUAUUCAAACGGUCUCACUAUCUGGUAAUCGUUGGUUUGUUACUUUUAUUGAUUGUUGCAAUCGCAUGACUUAGGUUUAUUUGAUAAAGGCAAAGAGUGAUGUGAUUUCUUGCUUUAAAUCUUUUCACAAGAUGAUUUGUACUCAAUUUGAUACUAAGAUAAAAGUUUAAGAACUGAUAAUAGUACAUAGUACAUGGAUGGCCCUUUUUCUGCUUAUUUGGAGUCUAAUGGAAUAUUGCAUCAAACUAGUUGUCCUUACACUAGUGCCCAAAACUGUGUUGUUGAAAGAAAAAAUAGACACCUGUUGGAAGUAGUCCGAUCUCUCAUUUUCACCAUGAACCUUCCAAAAACCUAUUGGGGAGAUGCAGUCUUAGCCGCAGCUUAUCUCAUUAAUAGAAUGCCUUAAAAAAUUCUUGCCUUUAAAAGAUUUUUAGAGGUACUACAAGGGAAAAUGCUUAUAUUGUUCCACCAAAAGUAUUAGGAUGCACGUGUUUUGUUCAUACUAGAACAGGUGGGAAGUUCGAUCCGAGGGCUAUUAAAUGUGUGUUUAUUGGGUACUCUCCCACACAAAAGGGUUACAAGUGUUACCACCCUCCAUCUAGAAAAUACUUUGUCAGUAUGGAUGUUACAUUUAGAGAGACUGAACCUUACUUCAGUGCUACCCCAUCACCUCUUCAGGGGAGGACAAUGAGAGAGAAGAGAUGAUUCAUAAUCCUAUAACUCUAGAACAUUUUACUAUGGAGGAGACUACUAUACAGGGGGAAACUAUUGGUGAUCAGGAGACUAUUGGUGAUCAAAUUGGGCAUUUGGAUAAAUCAGAUUUAAGGAGAUACUCAAGAAGAGACAAAAUAGAAGCAGAAAAAGCCAUUGUGCAGCCUACUCAGUGUCAUGAAUCUUCCUCUUCUCCAUCUGGUGAGUCUUCCCUAAACCUUGAGCCCUUUGAUGAUCUAAAUAAACCAAUUGCUCAAAGAAAAAGAGUUAGAUCUUGCACAAAACACUCUAUUUCUAACUUUCUCUUUUAUGAUUCUUUGUCUCCAUCCUAUAGAGCCUUUGCCUUAUCUAUUUCCUCUGUGUCUAUUCCACAAGAUUGGAAGGAGGCUCUUGCAGAUCCUAAUUGGAAGGGAGCAAUGAUUAAAGAGAUGAAAGCACCGGCAAAAAAUGAGACCUGGGAGCUUGUCACUCUCCCGCAACUUGUUGGCUGCAAAUGGGUGUUCACUGUGAAACACAAAACAAAUGGAUCAAUUGAAAGAUUCAAGACUAAACUAAUGGCCAAGGGAUACACUCAAACCUAUGGAGUGGAUUACCAGGAGAUAUUUGCUCAUGUUGCCAAAAUGAACUCAAUCAGAAUAUUGCUAUCUUGCGCUAUCAACCUUGAUUGGGAUCUACAACAAUUUGAUGUGAAAAAUACAUUCCUCCACGAAGUCUUGGAGGAGGAAGUGUAUAUGGAAAUCCCUCCUGAAUUUGCUGAUGAAAAAUACAAGAAAAAGUGUGCAGGCUAAAGAAGGCUUUGUAUGAGUUGAAGCAGUCACCCAGAGCUUGGUUUGAUCGAUUCCGUAGAGCUAUAAUUUCCUUUGGCUAUCAACAAAGCAAUGCUGACUAUACCCUAUUUAUCAGAAAUCACAAGGGUAAAAUUACUCUUCUUAUAGUCUAUGUUAAUGACAUAGUAACGACAGGGGAUGACACUGAAAAGAUGGCUCGACUGAAAAUACUUUUGGCUCAGGAGUUUGAAAUUAAAAAUUUAGGAAAACUACAAUAUUUCCUGGGAAUCGAGAUUUCCAGGUCAAAGAAGGAAAUCUUUAUUUCCUAGAGAAAAUACAUUCUGGAUCUUUUAGAAGAAACUGGUAUGUUAGGUUGCAAACCAGCAAAAACUCCCAUUGAGAGCAAUCACAAGCUAUGAGCACGGAUUGGUGGAUCAGUGGAUAUGGACAGAUAUUAGAGUUUGGUAGGCAGAUUGAUUUAUCUUUCGCAUACUCAACCAGACAUAGCAUAUGUAGUCAACUUAGUCAAUCAUUUUAUGCAUGAUCCUCGUGAGUCUCACAUGCAAGCUGUAAAGUCUGCUCCUGGAAAAUGUCUCAUAUUCUCUAAACACGGUCAUCUUCGCAUACAUUCAUUCACAAAUACAGAUUGGGCUGGAUCACUUGAUGAUAAAAGGUCGACUAGUGGGUACUGUACACUUGUGGGAGGAAACCUUGUCAUUUGGAGAAGCAAAAAGCAAAGUGUUGUUGCUCGACCAAGUGCUAAGGUGGAAUAUAGAGCAAUGGCGCAAGGUGUUUGUGAACUCCUACAGUUACGGAGAUUGUUGGAGGAAUUCAAACUAUUAGAUAGGGAUAAACUCCUCUUAUACUGUGACAACAAAACUGCCAUCAGUAUAGCUCACAAUCCGGUUCAACAUGACCGAACAAAGCAUAUAGAGAUUGAUCGACAAUUCAUUAAAGAGAAGUUAAUAAAUGGUGUCUUGAGAUUAGAUCAUGUGACUUCCAAUCAACAGCUAGCUGAUAUGUUUAUCAAAGGGCUCAGCAACAAGACCUAUCAUAUUUUGGUUUGCAAGUUGGGCAUGUGUGAUAUCUAUGCGCCAACUUGAGGGGAGUGUUGACCAACAUAGAAGGUUCCUAAUUAGGAGGAUUCAAAUCUUUUGGAUCCUAAUUAGACUUGAUUUAAGAUAUUUUAUUCUUAUUGUAAAUAUUCUUGAUUUAGGUUGAUUUUUUAUGUAUAAAUAAUCAAACCUUAUAAAGAUCAAUUCAAUUGGAACAAAAUAAAAAGUUCCUCCCAAAAUUCUUCAAAAACAAAUCAGGAAUCAAGUCUCUGAUCUAUUUGGAUCCAUCAAUUAUGUUGACUUAUUUACUAAUCCUAGCUGAUUCUAGAGAUUUGAUUUGAUCUGAUUAGGAUCCUUAAUUAUCUCUGUAAUUAUUAUUUGAUUAUUUGCUUUCUGUUUAGAUAUGAUUCUCUGUGUAUAAAUAGUCAUGUAGACCAAUUGUAAAGAUUAAGAGUGAAAUACAAGAAUACUCAAAAUUUUUCCCCAAAAUUCUUCAUGGUAUCAGAGCCUUUUCCUGAUUUUUUUGGGUCCAAAUCCAAUUCUUUCCUCUUUAGGGUUUCAAAACCCUAGAUCUACCUUUUUGGUACUAACCCAUUUAGGAGCCUCUCAUUCUCUCACCGCCGGCACCAGGAAAACCGCUGGACUGCCGCCGGCCGAUCGACCAGCUCCGACGCCGGAAAAGCCUGCUCGUGAGGCUCACGCGCCACCCCUUCCCUGCGCGUGACCCGUCGCUUCCCGGCGCGUGACCCAUCGUCUGUCACUGCUUUGCUGCUCCGAUCACUCCAGCGACGAUUCCGAUCAUCUUUCUGGCCUUCCCGUGCUACUAACCGGUCUUUUUGGUGAAUCGAUUGGGGUCUCUUGUGUGUAUAACCUUGGAUACCUCCUAUUCUGUCACAGUUUAUAAACCUUUACCAUGGCAGAAGGUAAAACGGUGUCAAUGACAGAAGGUAAAAGGGUGUCGAUAGCAGAAGGUAAAAGAGUCUCGAUUCCUAACUCUGAUUACUCAUUCUUUAGUGCCACAUCUGACUUUGUAAAGUCAGGUAAUGCUUCAUCUCUUCAUAAUAUUCCAUGGAUUAUCGAUUCUGGUGCGAAUAGACACAUGACAGGUUCUUCUAAAGGUUUUCUCAAUUAUUUUCCUUCCCUAACCAAAGAUAGUGUCAAAAUUGCUGAUGGCUCUUUUACUCCCAUAUCUGGAACAGGUUAUGUUAUUUGCACAUCCAAUAUUAAAUUAUCAUCUGUCCUCUAUGUUCCCCACUUUUCUGUCAACCUUUUAUCUGUUAGUGCUAUCACCAAUGCCCUUAAUUAUAAAAUUGAAUUCUUUCCUGAUCAUUGUGUUAUUCAGGAUCUUCACACAGGAAAGAGGAUUGGCAAUGGUAGACUGCAUGAUGGCUUAUAUAUGUUGGAGGGUGAUCCAAGUUCUUCGAUAUCUCAAGCCUGUUUUGGAGAAAAUAAGGAUGUCAAUCAGGAAAUAAUACAGUGGCACAGACGGUUAGGGCAUCCAUCAUUCUCUGCCUUAGAAAAACUUUAUCCUAAUUUGUUUGCUAGAACUCAGUUUGAUUCUCUAUUUUGUGAUGCUUGUGAGUAUGCUAAACACACUAGAAUAUUCUAUCCUUUGAGUCAUAAUAAAAGUCAAAUUCCUUUUGCGACUAUUCAUUCUGAUGUUUGGGGGCCUACUGAAACUGUCUCCUUGUCUGGUAAUCGAUGGUUUGUCACCUUUAUUGAUUGUUGCACUCGAAUGACUUGGGUCUAUUUGAUUAAAGCUAAAAGUGAUGUCUUUUCUUGUUUUCAAUCCUUUCAUAAGAUGGUUUGUACUCAAUUUGAUACUAAGGUGAAAAUUUUGAGAACUGACAAUGGAAGAGAAUACAUGGAUAGUAGCUUUUUUGCUUAUUUGGAGAGUAAUGGGAUAAUACACCAGACUAGUUGUCCUUAUACUAGUGCUCAAAAUGGUGUUGCUGAGAGGAAAAAUAGGCAUCUACUGGAGGUAGCUCGAUCUCUUAUGUUCACCAUGAAUCUACCCAAAGCAUAUUGGGGAGAUGCAAUUCUUGCAUCUGCUUAUCUUAUCAAUAGAAUGCCUCUCAAGACCCUUGACUUUAUAAGUCCUUUGGCGGGUCUACAAGGGAAGAAUUUAUACGUUGUUCCACCAAAAGUAUUUGGGUGUGUUUGCUUUGUCCAUACUAGGACGGCAGGAAAACUGGAUCCCAGGCCCUUAAAUGUGUGUUUGUUGGGUAUUCUCCAAUACAGAAGGGAUACAAGUGUUAUCAUCCUCCCUCUAGGAAAUACUUCGUUAGUAUGGAUGUUACCUUCCGAGAAACUGAACCCUACUUCAGUACCACCCACUCACCUCUUCAAGGAGAGAAUAAUGAGCAAAAAUAGGUGAUCUUGAAUUCUGUGAUUCUGAAUGAUAUGGUUCAACUAGAAAGUUUGAGUUCUAGUCGACAGGGGGAGAUGUCCAAUCAGGGAGAGAGAACUGGUCGUUUGGACAAGUCAGAUUUGAGAAGGUAUUCAAGGAGAGACAAGGCAGAAGAAGCCAUUAUGUAGUCUACUCAGAGUCAAGAAUCUUCUCCUGGUGAGUUACCCAGUCAUGAAUCUUCUUCUGAUGAGUUACCCACAACUCUUUCUUCUGGUGAGUUACCCACAACUCUUGAAUGUUUCAAUGACUUAGAUAAACCUAUUGCACAAAGAAAAGGGGUCAGAUCUUGCACUAAACACCCUAUUUCUAACUUUGUUUCUUAUGAAUCUUUAUCUCCUUCCUAUAGAGCCUUUGCCUUGUCUAUUUCCUUUGUGUCUAUUCCACAGGAUUGGAAAAAAGUUCUUGCAGAUCCUAAAUGGAAGAAAGCAAUGAUUGAAGAGAUGAAAGUAUUGGCUAAAAAUGAGACUUGGGAGCUUGUCACUCUCCCACCUGAGAAGAAACUCGUUGGUUGUAAAUGGGUGUUCACAGUGAAACACAAAGCUGAUGGCACAAUUGAACGGUUUAAGGCCAGAUUGGUUGCUAAAGGAUUCACCCAAACCUAUGGAGUGGAUUACCAAGAGACAUUUGCCCCAGUUGCAAAAAUGAACUCAAUCAGAGUUUUGUUAUCUUGCGCAACCAACUUGGAAUGGGACUUGCAACAGUUUGAUGUGAAGAAUGCUUUCCUCCAUGGAGAUUUAGAGGAAGAAGUGUUCAUGGAAAUUCCUCCUGGGUUCGCUGAUGAGAAGACACAAGGAAAGAUGUGCAGGUUAAAAAAGGCUUUAUAUGGGCUAAAACAAUCUCUCAGAGCUUGGUUUGACAGGUUUAGCAGAGCCAUGAUGUUCUUUGGUUACCAACAAAGCAAUACUGUUCACACUCUGUUUAUCAAACAUAAUAAGGGUAAGAUCACCCUUCUUAUUGUGUAUGUUGAUGAUAUAGUGGUGACAUGUGAUGACAAAGAGGAAAUGGCUCAACUAAAGAGGUUAUUGGCCCAGGAAUUUGAAAUCAAAGAUCUGGGAAAACUGCAAUAUUUUCUAGGUAUCGAGGUGGCUAGAUCAGAAAAAGGAAUUUUCAUCUCCCAAAGAAAGUACAUUCUGGAUCUAUUGAAAGAAACUGGUAUGAUGGGGUGUAAGCCAGCAGAAUCUCCCAUUGAAAGUAAUCACAAGCUGAAAGCAGGAACGGGUGAGUCCGUGGAUAUUGGAAGAUAUCAGAGAUUGGUAGGAAGGUUGAUUUAUCUCUCACACACUCGACCGGAUAUAGCCUAUGCUGUUAGCUUAGUCAGCCAAUUCAUGCAUGACCCUCGCGAGACUCAUAUGCAAGUUGUACUUCGCAUCUUGAGAUACCUAAAGUCUGCGCCAGGGAAAGGGCUUCUUUACUCCAAACAUGGUCACCUCCGAAUUGAAACUUUUACAGAUGCAGAUUGGGCAGGAUCUCUCGAUGACAGGAGAUCCACCUCUGGCUACUGCACAAUUGUGGGGGGAACCUUGUCACCUGGAGGAGCAAAAAACAAAGUGUUGUUGCUCGGUCAAGUGCGGAAGCAGAAUACAGAGCAAUGGCCCAAGGAGUAUGUGAACUCUUAUGGUUGCAGAAGUUAUUGGAAGAGUUGAGAUUGUCCGAGACAGACAAGAUAAACUUGUAUUGUGACAAUAAAGCUGCUAUAAGUAUAGCACAAAAUCCAGUCCAACAUGACCGAACCAAGCACAUUGAAAUUGAUCGGCACUUCAUUAAAGAAAAAUUAACAGACGGUGUCUUGAGCCUAGUUCAUGUGACUUCUAUGGGGCAACUUGCGGAUGUGUUUACUAAAGGGCUUAACAAGAAGAUCUACCAUAAUCUGAUUUGCAAGUUGGGCAUGUGUGACAUCUUUGCACCAACUUGAGGGGGAGUGUUGACUUAUUUACUAAUCCUAGCUGAUUCUAGAGAUUUGAUUUGAUUUGAUCUGAUUAGGAUCCUUAAUUAUCUCUGUAAUUAUUAUUUGAUUAUUUGCUUCCUGUUUAGAUAUGAUUCUCUGUGUAUAAAUAGUCAUGUAGACCAAUUGUAAAGAUUAAGAGUGAAAUACAAGAAUACUCAAAAUUUUUUCCCAAAAUUCUUCAAAUUAUUUUGGUGCAUAGUUUAAUUUUUGGUAAUCAUGCAUCAAGUGUUGUGAAUACAUUUGUGUCAAAAUGCAAGGCAAUAUGGUGCAGAAAAUUUGACUAACAGCCAAACAAUUAAAACGUACCAAAAACAUAUAUUCCAACACUUAAAAAACAAAUCAGGAAUCAUAUUGCUAGACUAUUGGGAUCCAUCAAAUGUCACUACAUAAUUUAAUUCUCUGGUAAUCAUGACAGGCAUCAAGUGUUGUGAAUACACAUCUGUCAAAAAAGCAAUAUGAUUCAACAAAGUGCAUUGAUAUAAAAUGGUAUUAAUGUUAUGAUGCUAAACGUGUCAGGUGUUACCUCCAGUUCCUCAUUUUGAUUCCUUAGUGACUCUAUUUUGAUGUUGUCCACAACUGGAACUUCUUUGAUGACUGGUGGGGCUUGUUCUAUAGCCAACUUCGCUGCUUCUUUCUCCCGGAUAAUUGCAGCAUAGGCUUCAUCCACCUCUCCUUGCUUUUCUUGAAGUGCAUUUUGUAACUUUGCAAUUUCUUGCCCUUUAGCUUCUUCGAGAUCAAUCUACAACAAAAUUUAUUCUGAUUGGCUUAAGUGGACAUCUUAAUUGGGUUUAGGAACUGACAUUUUUUCUGUCAGUUUCUUGCUGACUUGGAUUCUUUCAUCCAAUUAAUGUAAACUUAGAAAACUUAAUUCUUAGACUUCUCUGCAAGCAUUCUAGAUAAGAUAACCAUACGGCAGCAGCACAUAUAAGGAUUAGGAUGCACAAGGAUGGGCACUGAACAUGUUUGCAUGUCCAGCUGAAUUGUUCUGAGCAUAACUGAUAAUUGUUUUCAAGUCUAAGUCAAACAACAUUCAGAUUGACUAAAUGCUUAUUGUGUUUCUGCACAUUUGACUUUUAAAUUCUUUGAAAGACACGAUGUGCAGUAUACCCUCAAAUGCCUUUCAAAUUCCAGUCGCCAUGUUAACUCUUCAACGCGCUUCUCUAGUUUGUCCUUAGCUUCUUUAAGUGCCCCUGUUUCUCUUGCAGCCUGCACCAUUAAAUUUGUGAAUUUUAAUGUACACAUAGUAAAAUAUAAUUCUAGCUCAAGUGAAUAGUUCAAUAACUAGAUUUCCAAGGAACAGGAAGUGCAAGAAAAUUGCUUUUUGUGAAGUGAUACUCACCAUCCUUAGCUUUCUGAGCUCCUUUCUUGCUACCCUUGCUCUCCAGAGACAUUGAAGUGUGAGAGUUGCUUUCUUUUGCUGUUUAUAAGCAGAAAGAGCUUGGAACCUUCUCCAUUGUGUCUGUUAUAUUCGACAGAUAUAAGUAAAAUUUUUCAUCUGUUAGGUUCAGCAGGGCUCAGCCGGAGAGUUCUAUUACCUGAAUAAUAAUUGCAGCCUUUGUUCUUCUUCUGUAUCUAUAUUCAUUUCGAGCUGCCAUUGCACGUAAUCCAGUUUGAAUAAACAUUGCUGAUGUCUGUAAAUUUAUGUAAAGUCUUCUUGCUGUAUGAGCACGAACAUUUUUUUGUAUACGGAUAGAGGCUGCUUCUUCUCUCAUGUGUUCAUAUAGCUUACGGGCAAGUUGUGCUGUUUAAGGGACAAGACAAAUGUAACGGUCAGUCCUUUUGUUGCUAGGUUUCACAAAUAUGACCAUGGAAAUGGGCAUUGUCUGUAGAAGUGAAAAUGGCACAAACCAACUUCAUCCCAGCCCAAAGAAUACUAAUAAUAGUUUGAAAAGCAAUUAUUUUGUACAGAAUCCUGAAACAAAGGAAAGCAUUUUUUAGAGUUGAUGGGUUCUGUAAAUACAUGGGCACACCAUCAUUAUGAUUUUAUUCUAUUCUCUUGCAUACUCAUCUGUAGUAGGUUCUUGUCGCCUGAAAAUGAUAUGCAAAAGCUUAACUGCCCAACCUUCUGUUUAUUUUGUAUGGGUUAGGUAGUCUCUGUGAAUUUUUGUCAUGGAGCAACAGAAUUUAUUUCAGGAAAGAUUGGGUAACCUCUCCAGAGUUUUUGCAUGUGGAUUGAGGCCCUCCGCAUAGCAAUAAACACUUUUCUGGUUAGAUAUGUCCGAAUUUGUCUCUGGAUUCGUCUGGCAGAACUAGCCAACACCUCACUUCUUUGUGCAUCUAACUCGGCCAUCUGUCCAGCUCUGAGGAACACCUUUGUUUUCCCCAUCUGAAUCAAGCAUUUAAGGAGUUACCAAAAUAUAUAAGUAAUUUUCAGAUGUUAUACCUUUUAAUUUUCCCAUGAUAAAAGUACCUGGUAACCCUUUAAACCCAUUCUUUCCAAGAUGGCAAUGCAUGCUGAUUUUUCAUCAGACCUGCUCAAGGGAUAGUGAACAUUAUUGUUGCAAAAUAUGCUGUCAAAAUUGUGCUUUUGCUAUUGGAAAGUGAUGUAGGAGCUGUACAAUUACAUUUAUCAGAAGUUACAAAAAAGAUACAUUUAUAUCAAAAUGGUGCAUGUAGCUAAAUAAGUAAUGCUCGUAGUCUGGCCCUUGAUUUCAAGGCAUCUAUUUUCAUGCCAUCCAAUGAAAUGAUAGUAUAUGAUGAAGAGAAAGGGUCAAGAAAAAUCAGGUGUUAGUAAAAUAUACCCUUCUAGAACAUCAGGAGUAAGCAUUCCAAAACGAUCAAGGAACUCAUCAAACGUUCUUUUUGUCGGAUACCCAGCACAACUUAUCCUAAUAGCCUCUAGCACUCCCUGUCAUAUAUAUAAUCAUCAUCUACAUUAGUAGUCUGAAAAUCGUUGUUUCACCUAUAACAGAAAUUGAAAAGCUAUAUCCUAAACAAGGUACAAGAAAAUUUGAUCUUACCCCACAUCUUAAUUGGUUUAAUACGUUGAAGUUCUCAAAGAUUCCAGGCCUCAAAAGUGUAUUUGGCUUUACACAUCUGAUAUAAUGUGGCUCUGUUGUGUUCAAUGUCUCCAUUAAAGCUUGUAAUUGUUGCUAGAUGUUAGAUUUGAGCCAGGGGUGAGCCAAUGUCUCAGUAAUAUAUUAUGUAAACUGGUGCAGAAACACGGAUAAAGCUUACCUUGAUUCGGGUACCGAUGGAAGAGAAUUUGGAUUGCUUGGAUGUCUCUUCCGGUAAUGGAGGGAAAAGAUUAGCAACAAAAGGGCACUUAGAUGCAUUUAACAAGGCUUGAUGCUCUGCUACGAUAUAAUCUUUAUUUUUAUCAAGAAAUUGAUCAGCUUGGUAUGUAACCUGUUUACAAAUGGCACAGCAGAAAGAAACCAGCAAUUUGUAGAUUGUCUAGCUGGAUGGUCAAGGAUAAAAUUAAAACUAUAGCUUACAUCUCCUGCAUAGUGAUUGAUUGUGAAGUCAGUUCGAGCAAGUUUUGGCUUGCUGAAGCGUCUGUGUCCUUUGUAUGUCUGGUACAUCUUCUGUGCAAAUGUCUCAUGAGUUGACUUUGGAAACAUGCUGCAUCAAAAAUAACCUUGUGCUUAUAUCCAGAUGAUUGCAGGAAUGAAGCAUUAUUACUUUUCAUUUCUGUUUUUAUGUUCUACUGUUUUUAAUCUCUACUGGAGAUGGUGCAAGAUUCAGGCCCUUUUUCUUCUCCAAUGAAAACUUUGGCGACUAGAGAUUUUAUUGGAUGUGUUAUUAGAAACCCUGAUAUGCCAAGGUGAACAAUUUUUUAGAAGGUUAACCAUUUCAUAGCUAGAUUAUUGUCGCUCUCUCUCACAAAAUUAGGUGAUGUAUGAUGUUGCAAGUAGGAAAUUCAUACCAGGCCUCAUCAAGAAGGGCUAUUAUACCCCCAGGUUUCUGCAGGCAAGGACAUAAAAUUAAGAUGUCACGAGCAUGAUGUAUUAGCUUAAUAUAAAAACUAUCUUCUAAUAACCAGUACCUUCUCAAUAAGAUCCAAAACAUCCUGGUUAUCUACAAAUUCAACGUAGCUCCAAUUUAUUUCCUCUCUUGUAUACUCUUCUUGCUCCAUCUUAAAUACGUGCUGUGGAUAAAGAUCCAUGAGUGCAGAAUAACAAAGGUAUGCAUGUAUUGAAAUUAUUCUUAGGAAUUCUAUCUCCACCUGGUUAAAAUGUUGUUGCAACUUCUCAUUUGUUAGGUUGAUGCAUAGCUGCUCAAAACUACCAAAUACAGUAUAUUAGAUUUUCCUGUUAAAACUUUAAGAUUUCUUUUUAUUAUAAAAGCUUAUUUUCCACCAGCACCUGUUAAUCUUGAAGCUUUCAAAGCCAUAAAUAUCAAGGACCCCAAUUAUACUUGUUGCAUUGGGAUCUUGACCUAUUGAAUUAUUGAUCUUAUCCACAAUCCUGCAAUAGUAAAUUUUAAUGAGAUCAAAUUGUUUUCAAAAAUAUAACUCAAACUGAAUCUUGUGAUUGCUGUUUGACAGAAAUCAUGUUGCCAACGUCUGCUCUGCUCAAAAGUUAACUGAGCUGUACUCUUAUGUUGCAGAGAACUUCACAUUCUUUACUUAUAUUACUGGCUUACCAUCGACAUAUAGUUGAUAGUUAUGGAGUGAUAUUGACUUUCUUACCAAUCAAACAGCCUAGAGUACACAGUCUUAGCUAAGGCAUCACGACUCAAGACAGCUAAAUCUGGGUCCAGAGGUUUUGUAAUGUUUCCGUCAGGAGUCACUAUGACACGCUUGCAAAGUGAGUCUUCCAGUGCAUUCUCAUUGCACCUAAAAUCAUGUUUUUAAAACACAAGCAGACAUCUGUAGCAAUUACUAAUUAGCAAAUAAUUUCUUAUUUUGAUGAAAUAGAUCAAAUUCUAACCUUAGUAGCUCUGCUGCAGUUAGAAGAUGGUAGCGUGCUUUAUCAUCUUUGAGUUUGGAAGAAUCUGUUUCUUUUCCUUUGAUGAAGUCAAUAUUUCCAAGAUGGAGGAUCGCAGCAACUACACGGAAUAUCGCAUCCUACAGAAGAGAAAUGAACUUCAGGUAUCUGCAUUAUGCCUACAGGAAACUUCAAAUCAAUAAUUUGUUCCUCUAGGGUUGUAAAUUAUCAAAACCUGUUCAUCCUGGCUGAUCCCUACAAUAUCCAUUGCAUUUCUGGUCUCCAAAUACUCUCUGGCAUCAUCUACAUUUGCUACUUGAUAACAAUUGGAUUGGUUCAAAUAGUGGAAUUCUCUUGGAUCCCCUAACUUGAAUUUUUUUACAUCCUGAUAGGAAACAUCAGUCAGGUAGCUUUCCCAUGACUUAUUUAACUUGGUUGGAGUAGAAGAAAAAAUAUAUAGAAUCACCUCUGGGGGUGCUGCACAAAGCAUGUAAAAACAAUGGUAAUUUCUCUCAGGGUCAGAAACUUGGCAAACACGUGACCUUUCAAGAAGAUAAGUGCGAACUGCAGCUCCAGAUAUCUUCCCUUGCUUAUCAAACUGUAUCUCAACAAACUUUCCAAAACGACUGGUUGAAUCAUCCAAUUUUUAGUUGUAAGUUCAACUAAUAUAGGAACAGGAAAUUCUAUAUUUUGGGGAAAAAAAGGAGUAUAGAGUUAAAAAGGCCAUCAAAAUUUCACCUGGAAUUGUUAUUUUUCACAGUUUUAGCAUUCCCAAAUGCUUCCAGGACUGGAUUUGACUGGGGAAGUGGAAAUAUAGUUAUGCAUGCCAUUAGUGGAAUCUUCUAAUAGUCAAUAUUGUGUCAUUCUUCUAACUUACCUCCAAAACUUGUUGUUCUACAGUUCUUCCUUCUGUGCCUGAUCUGCCCCCCAUGAAUGCAAGGUAUCUCAUAAGCAUCUUUGUUGUCUCUGUUUUACCAGCUCCACUCUCCCCACUUACCAAAAUGGACUGGCUUUCCUGUUCGUUCAUCAUUGCUCUGAUACAUAAAUUUAUUAUGUUAGAUGUAUAUUAUAACAUGAUUUUGUGUAGUGUGUUUUGUGCUUCUAUAUUAUACCUGUAACAAGUGUCUGCCACAGCAAAAAGGUGUGGACUCAGCUCCCCAAAAGCUGCUCCUUUGUACUGCUCCAUCAUGUGAAUGUCGUACAAAUGCGGCAGUCUUUGGAAAGGAUUAACGGCAAUUAGAAUGUUCCCAGUGUAAGUCUGCUUAUUCAGGACUGGUUAUCAGUAUUGUGGUUUAUUGAUACACAUUUAGUUUGCAAUGCUAACCAAUUUCACAGUGAUGUCAGUUAGGUUAAUUUUGACUCACAUAUAUCUCAUUGAGAGAAAACCGACAAGCAAGGUUAUGUAAGACCCCUGGUUCAUGGAGGUAAGCCAAUUUGGUCAUGUCAUCAACUCCUGCUGGUGGUGCCUCUGUGUCUUUCGGAUAUAUGCUGAAAAUUUCAGCAGCUAUCUGGAGUUGAGGUAAAAGGAGCAAAAGUUUAGUUUAUAAGUUUUUUAAAUUGCUACAGUGACUUUUAGUUUAACACAACUUCCAUAUCUAAGAAUAUAACUUGAUCACAAGAAAAUAUAAAUAUGACCAUUAAUAAGUUUGGCUUUUUAUUGGCAUGAAAGCAGGAAAAGAGUAAAUAAUAAAAAUGGCCGAGGUAUGAUAUGCAGCUCCUUUAUGAAUGCAGUUUGAAUGCUGGCUUAUUACCUAUGCAUACAUUCUUGGACGAUUACAUACAUUAUUGUAUCAUAAAAAAUUCUGAGUCAUAUUUUUACCUUAUUGUAGUUAAUAACCUGUAUGGUAACUUUAUAAUAUUGCUUCCUUUUUCUUAUUUUACAUAGCGCACUUCAAGUAUUACAUGGUUAAAUGUGUUAUUCAAACCGUCACUAAGAAGUGUAUUUAUAUUGUUGGAAUAUUCAGGCAAAAGAAAGAAAGAAAAAUCAUUCUUUAGACUCUGAAUGGUAAAGCUUGUUUGGUUCGGCACUACAUUAUUGGAAAGGACCUGAUGAGAAGCUUCAUACUGUAGAUAGUUUCAAAUCAAUAUCAUAUCAACAUUUUAAGUCCAAAAGAACUGAAAAUUACUGAGGAUUAGAAAUAAUUAAUAGGAAUUGAACAAUUUACAGUUUUCCCGUUUGUGGCAACUAUGGUGGCAUCUCUGCCUUUGAUUGCUAUUACUUCACCAUCAAUCCAUGCAUCCUCAGGAUCCUCUACCCAAACAUGUGAUCCAACUAUGAUAUUGACUGGAGUUCCCUGAAUCAUCAAAUAUAAAGAAAAGCAUUUAAAUGUUGUGCUAGGAAAUAUAAGAUGGCAAAAGAAUAAGAAAAUGAAAAAACAGAAACUGAUGAUUGAGGACCUUACCAUAUUGAAACCUAUAUGAUCAUAAAAAUUCAGAUUAAGAAUGAUCUGAAAAAACCUGGAUGUGUUGUUGGAGAGAGAGAGAGAGAGAGAGAGAGAGAGAGAUGUCUUAAGGGAAUGGUAGCAUGUUCUGAGGAUUGUAGAGUGUUGGAUUGCUGUAUAUGAAAGUAGAAAAAGGAUGAUGUAAAGGAAUUCAAAAGAAGAGGAAUGCACAGGCGGUGGUAAUGCUAGAGCAAAAAAGCAUCAGCCACCCCUCACCUCCCUCCCCCACUUCAUUUCAACUUUUUGCUCGUUCCACCUAGGAUGCUGACUUGGCACAAUGAGAAGCCCCAACAUAAGAACUAUUUUGAUCAUCAUGAGGCCAGUUUUGUGGGUCCAUUGCUUAAGCCAUACGUAGAGACCGCAUCCACCAUAUACAUUGAUCUAUGCUUAUUGCACCCAUGUUGUUCGUGGACCCAAUGCAUUACCAUGUUAUGGUCUCAACUGUUUCAUUUGGUUUUGAUCUGUAAUAGCAUUAUUACUGGUACUUCUUGUAAUUUAAAAGCUGAUCCGUAUAUUUUUAGUAGUCACUGCCCUAACUUUUAAUUGGACGUGGCCUUGAAGUAGGGUGCUCAACAUGGUUGCGAGGGAUCAAUCGCUUGAAGCAUUCCUCAAUUAAGGACACGGCUGCCCCUUGUUUUGAGCAACUUAGAAUUUUGGAGUUUUUCCAGAAACAUUAUUUUGCCUUUGCAACGAGAUGACUGAAUUAUGGAAGAAGAAUAGUGAUAGAAUUAGAGACUACCAGUAAUGCCUGGUUUUUAAAGUAAUAUGAUGUUGUCAGUCAAUAACAUAAUGAAUGACAUUUGGUGAUUUGUGGAGAUUAAAAGAAGGCAGAUGACAACUAGAAUGGAGAUGAUCGAUGUAGACCAUGCAUCUUAUUUUUUAAGCAAGUCUCCUCUCUUUACUCACCUUUAAUAUGAAUACUAAGCAUUGCUUCCACCCUCCACCAAACUUGAGGUGGCCGUGUGGGCCUUUCUGUGGCUUUUUUAUUCGUAUUCUCAAGUCUUCCUUUCUCAAAUGCCGGUGCCAGUAAAAAAAGAGCUUCUUUCUUGUGGGACCCUGAAGACCGGAAAUUAUGCUCUGCAUAGCUUUCCAACCGAUCUUUCCUUGCAUUCCUUUUCCUUUUUCUCUUCUUUAUUGAUCUGUUCUCUCUCAUUACAACUGAUUGAAUCAUUAUUCUUGAUUGCUAAGGCUGUUCUGUAAGAUAGCUCGGAAUAACCUGCUUGUUGCCCUUGUAAAUAACCCACGCUGCUGCGCUUGCUUUGUAUGCUGUGUUAUUCAUGAGGUGCCUUCUGUUGUCAGAGCUUUUUUACAAAUAAAAUUGGGCCAAGUAAUGGAUACAGAAUUGGCCCAAGAAAAUAAAUUCAUGCAAUGUCUCCCCAGUAAGAAUAUAAGCUGGGAUUAGACUUCAAACUCUGGAGAUAAAGCGGGAAUUCAACACCCUUUACCUUUUGUUUGAGAGGAGAUUUUUCAAGGUAAUGAAAAGUUUCUCUAAGAUUUAAAAAUCUUGAAACUGUGUUUAGGAAGAAAUGUAAGUUUUUAAAGUAAGGUCUUUCGAAAACUCUCAAUUUUAACCCACCGGAUUGGUGGAUUGAGAAUGUUUCUUUUUAAAUCCUUCAAAUAUCUUAAAAAACAAUCAUUACUUUUCAAACAUAAGAAAAUUAUCAGAGUUUAAAAAUUAUAAAAAAUCAUGCCUUAUAAAAUUUUAUUUUACUCUAUUUCGUUUUAGACAGAGUAUUAAUUUAUUCUUAAAUAAAUUAUUUAAGUCUUUUUUUUAUACAACAGCGCUAUAUUUUUCAUUCUUCUCAAAUUUUUUAGUAUCUUUUAAUAUAUUUUUAUUUUCGCCAAUUGUGUUUUUCUUCAAUUUCAUGAGAUCUGCUUGCAUGAAUUUAUCUUUUCAUAAGAUCUGCUUGCAUGAAUUUAUCUUUUCAUGAGAUCUGCUUGCAUGAAUUUAUCUUUGUCCUUUUUUAUUAUUAAAACAUAACUAAUUUCUAUCCUGUAUCCUUUUUAAUUUUUGGAAUAAAAAAGCUAACGAAAUCAGAAAAUCACUUUUUAAUUUUUAUGAUUUUCAUUUGUUACAAUGCAUUUUCACUAUUUUAAACAUAAAAAACAAAUCCUAAAUAUAUUAUUUAUGUAGUUCUUUUUAACAUCUAUAAAAGCAAACCUAAGAAUAAACAUGAAGAAUGAAAAUCAAAGAAGCCCAAAAAUUAUUUUAAAUCCUCUUGUACCCUAAGGGAGGGUUUGUAUUCUUCAUUUCCAGCUUGAAUAACACCACAUAAGGAGCGACUCCAAGAGGCCUAGUACAUGUAUUUGCUACUUCGGCGGAAGAAGUGGGAGGAGUGUUUUGUUAAUCAAACCGACAUGUGCCCAAUCUCGAUUUUCAGCUUAUUAAGGAAGAAACAAGAAAAACUAAAAUUACAUUCUAAAUAAAUCACAUAAGUCUUGCAACUGCACUUCAGUAUUUGUAGAAAAAAGAAAAUAAGGAGAUCCUUUCAAAUAUUUGGGAAUUUUGUGUGCUACUUGCAUUAUUUGCCUGCACUUUGUGUGAGUCUUUAAAUUUUUGAAAUUAUGAUUAUAUAAAUAUCACAUUUUUUUGUUAUUUUUUAGUAUUUAUAUUUAUAGACGAUACACUAUAUAUAUAUAUAUAUAUAUUUUUAUAAAAUAAUAAUUAUUUUAAAUAUAUAUUGAUGCUAAAUAAACAACCGCAAAAAGUGAGUCACGACCUGUCGUUACGAGAUAGGUUCAUGGGAUAAGUAUCAAGUGAGUAGGAGAUGAUUGAACAUCCGAGUUAUCACUGAAAGACUCACUAUUUUUCGAUAAGGCGAAUCUCGGCACGAAGUUAUUAUUAUCAAAUACAACUUGGAACAUCUCCAUUACCUAUGAUCACAGAAUUUUUUCCUACCAGUUGGUAGGGGUGAGCAUUCGGUCGGUUUGGUUCAAAACCGAAUCGAACCGAAUAAACCGAAAACCGAAAUUUUAGUGUUUAUAAAAACUGAACCGAACCGAUUUUGGUCAGAAACCGAAUCGAACCGAACCGGUCUGAUUCGGUUUGAUUCAGUUCGGCUUGAUCGGUUUCGAAUUUUAAUAAUUUUUUUAUUUUUUACACUUUAUUUUUAGUAUUUUAAAAUUUAAUUAAAAUAUUUUAAUUUUAAUAUGAUUUAAUUUCUCUAUAUUAUUGAAAAAACAUAUUAUUAUUACUAAUCGGUUCGGUUCGGUUUUUUCGGUUUUUUUUUAUCAAAACCGAACCGAACCGAAAUAUAUAAAAAACCGAACCAAAAUUUUAAAUCAGUUCGAUUCGGUCGGUUUUUUCGGUUUGAACCGAAUACUGCUCACCCCUACCAGUUGGUGAUCUUUCUUAUCAAGAAGACGGCCACAGUACUACUGAAUUAUCAAAAAAAAAAUACUAAAUCCAUUCUUGUCUCUUACAGUAUAAAAGGAGAAGAACGACAGAGACCAAGUACGUCAUUCUCAAAUACUAAAACUCUAAACAUUUCAUUACACUUUCUCUACUCGUUGAGAUACUGACUUGAGUGUCGGAGUGGCUGCCAUGGGCACCCACCACCUCACAUUGUCUCCCUUGCAGGUUCUAGCCAAUCGUAGUACAAUUCCAUUCCGGCCAUGUUAUCAAUCUAAUCUCCACAACAUCAAUUGGUUCUGUUGCCAAAAAAUCCAUUGAACUUUAUCUGUUCAUUGGAUUGAAAUCGAUUUCUUGUUCCUUUAUAUUUUAAAGAAGAAAAAGAGGAUCUCUCUCUUCUCUGAUCUCUUGAGAUGGCCGGAGUGGUACAUGUCAUUACGGGAGGACCUGAUAAGAGCAAUGAAAAAAAUAAGCGUAAGGCAGGGGAUGUCUUAUUUGUCCAUUAAGAACCAUGGGUCAAACAAAAGGUAAGAUUUGGUCCUGCCGAUAAGGCGGUAGGGUCCUUUCAAAAUGAUCCCUUGGUUGUUAAAAUCUUGUUGAAUCGGUAUAACGUAAGGUGGGUGCUUGUGGAUACAAGUAGUUCUAUUAAUCUUCUCAUCUUAAAUAUUUUCAACAAGUUAGGCUUAGAUAAAAAUAGUCUUGCUAUUUCUAUCUGUAACGACCCGGAAACCGGACCGCUACCAACGCUAGGAUCCAGAUCGGUAUAAGGCCGCCGGGACCCGUAGCAAGCCUAACAUACAUCCUGUAUACCUGUUAAAUCCCAUACAUGAUCAAACAUAUACAUAAAACUUUAAACUUUUUCUUUCAUUUACCAAGCUUAACCUGUGCAUGCACAACUCAAAAACAUAAAACCCCACACUGGAACCCUCAUCAAAUGCUCCAAUGGGGCAACAUAACAUAUAUCAAGCUUGGCUUAACAUAACUCAUCAUAAAACAUUACAUAUAGGUCAUGUAUAAAAAGGGAUUUACUAUAAACGUUAGGGCCAAGUAUAAUACUAAACCUCAUUACAUUAUCUUACAUUACAUCACUUUACAUUAUCCAUGUCCACUACUAUACUAUUAUAUAACAUAACUAUAACAUACCCUUAACCAUUACUCUUUUGACUCCCUAUGCUACCUCUGGUCCUGCAAAACUGGGGUUAGGGGAAAGGGGUGAGCUAAAAAGCCCAGUGAGCAGAACAAUAAAACAAUUCAUUAAAACAUAUGCUAUCAUGGAAUGCAUCACAUCACAAACAAAUCGCAUCAAGGAUGGAAUUGUCACCAAUAGCCCUCUGCAUAACGUACCAGGUCUAGCCGUGCCAGGGGCGAUACGGCCACACCUGGUUUUCUCUUACAUAUAUAUAUCAUAGCAAGUCCAACUGUGCCAAGGGUUUUACGGCCUCACCUGGUCUUCUCUUACAGUCCAACUAUGCCAGGGGCGAUACGGCCUCACCUGGUCUUCUCUUACAUAUAACAUAGUGCUAGGAGCGAUACGGCCUCACCUGGUCUUUCCAUCUCAUAUCAUAUCAUACCAUCUCAUGUCAUAUCAUAUCAUCUCAUAUCAUAUCAUACCAUCUCAUGUCAUAUCAUAUCAUCUCAUGUCAUAUCAUAUCGUCUCAUGUCAUAUCAUAUCAUAUUAAGGGCUAGAGGAUCAUCCAAUAUCCAUCCACAACAACAUCAUCAUAUAAUGCAAUGCAACAUAUUCGUGGAUUCUAAUGCAACAACCUAUAAACAUGGCAAUCGUGAUGCAUGGACAUGCUUAAAAGUUAAUUUGCUUUAAAUAAAAGAGUUGUGUUCUACUCACCUCUGGCUACCUCUGGACUAACUCUGAAGCAGCUAACACUGCUGAACACUUCGGUUCCUCAAGUCCGAUCCUCUUGAAGAUCGAGGGUUGGUGCGAUCCCUAACUUGGAGAUAGGAGAAAUCUAGCUCCUUGGGUCUCCAAGCUCCAAAACUUGGUCUUAAGCUCAAAACCCUUAGCUCGAGAAUGGGGAGAAAACUCGCCCAUUUUCGGUCUGAGGGCCUUUUAUAGGUGGCCGGUCAACCACUUUCGGCGGCCUAAGCUGCUUUCACAACUUCACCACCUUCGACAGCCUAACGUGCCCCCUAAACUAUCACAUGUUCGGCGGCCGAACUUGAGGUUCGGCGGCCGAAAGAAAGCCACUUUCGAAAGCCUAACGUGCCUCCUAAACAGCCCCAUGUUUGGCUGCCGAACUUGAGGUUCGGCUGCCGAACUUGAGGUUCGGCUGCCGAACUUGAGGUUCGGCUGCCGAACUUGAGGUUCGGCUGCCGAACUUGAGGUUCGGCUGCCGAACCUGGGUUCUUCCCUCCUUGGUCUUUUCUUUCAAAACUCAAAUCCUUUCUAAUCAAAACCAUAAAAACAUGUAAAAACAUUCUAGAAAACCUUUACUUUACCCUUUUAGAGAGUUCCGACAUCCGAGAUUCCACCGGACGGUAGGAAUUCCGAUGCCUGAGUCUAGCCGGGUAUUAUAUUCUCCUCCCCUUAAGAACAUUCGUCCCCGAAUGUUCCUCAACUAGCACAUGCAAAGCAAAACAUAUCACAUAAAACAUAAAAACAUUAUCCUUAAAAGAGAUAAAGACAUUGCUGGAGUAUGAACUCCCGGGUCUCCCAAACACCUUCGUCCUUUUUUAUGGUGAUUCUAAAAGAUUUUCACCAUCAGGAUUCCCUUGUGCCUCAACUUUCUGAUCUGCGUGUCUAGGAUCCAACAUAGGUGAGAUCUCCUAGGAUCUCUAUAUCUGAUUCACUACGAACCUUGCUAGGAUCUGACACGAACUUCCAUAGCAUUAGAACAUGAGAACCCAGGUGGAUUCUUUCCAUGGGAACAGGUAAAUCUAACUUGUACGAUACAUCCCCAACCUUUUGCAAAGCCUCAAAGGGUCCGAUGUAUCGUGAAGCUAGCUUACCUUUCUUCCCAAAACGAACCACCCCUCUUUUAGGAGACACCUUGAGCAAUACCAUAUCUCCCUCCAGCAACACUAUAAGCUUCCUACGAGCAUCUGCUUAACACUUCUGCCGGCACACAGCCGUCCUGAUUCUUUCUCUGACAACUGACCUUCCCUCUGCUGUAUUGUGGGAUAAACCACCAAGUGAUUUCCGGCUGGGGCAUUUGUCAUAACAUUUGCCUCACCCGGAUGCUACCGAAACUUAUAACCAUAGUCACUAAGCAGUUAUACCCAUUUUCUCUGCCUUAGGUUUAACUCUUUUUGACUCAAGAUGCACUGCAAGCUUUCAUGAUCUAUAAAGAUCUCUAAUUUUUUUCCCAUAAAGGUAACACAUCUACAUCUUGAGUGCAAAGAUCACAACUACCUUUUCUAGAUCAUGUGUAGGGUAAUUCAACUCAUGCUCCUUUAACUGCCUAGAAGCAUAAGCAACUACCCUUUCAUACUGCAUCAACACACAAUCUAGUCCCACACGGGACGUAUCACAGGACACUGUGAAGACUUCAUCACUGGUAGGCAGAGUUAACACCGGUACUGACAUCAACCUUCUCUUUGGCUAUUCAAAACUUUCUUCAUACUAUUUUGACCAACUAACCUUUGUUUCUCUUUGGUCAACCCGGUCAUAGGAGCAACAACUCUAGAGAAGUUCUGGAUGAACCUCCUGUAGUAACCUGCCAACCCAACAAGCUCUUAAUCUAUGUCACUGUGGUGGGUCUAGGCCAGUUAACUACAGCUUCAACUUUCUUGGGAUCUACCUCAAAACCCCUGUUUCUGACACAUUGCGACCCAAGAAAGAUAUGCUCCUUAACCGAAACUCACAUCUGGAGAACUAGGCACCCAAGCCAUGUCCUCUCAAGGUCUGUAACACUGUUCUCAGAUAAUGGGCAUACUCCUCUACACUUCUGGAAUACACCAAGGUAUCGUCAAUGAAGACAAUAACGAAGUGGUUCAGAAUCUAACUAGAAACUCUGCUUAUGAGAUCCAUGAAUGCUGCAGGGGCAUUUAAUAGCCCGAACAGCAUUACUAGGAACUCAUAGUGCCCAUAUCUGGUUCUGAACGCCGUCUUCGGCACAUCUUCUUCUCUGAUCCUUUACUGCUGGUACCCGGAUUUCAGAUCUAUCCUGAAAAGACGACCAACUCCUGCUAGCUGGUCUAAAUAGAUCGUCGAUCCCAGGUAACCGAUACUUAUUCUUGGUAGUGACUUUGUUCGACCGCCUGUAGUCGAUACAAAGCCUUAAGGAUUCAUCCUUCACUCUCAUAAACGACACUAAAGCACCUCUAAGUGAGAUACUCGGUCGGAUGAAACCCUUACCUACCAACUCUUAUAACUGUUCCUUUAGCUCUUUCGACUUCUUUAACUCUACAGGUACCAUCCUGAAGGGAGGGAUAGAGAUGGGUCUGGUUCCCAUCAUUACUUUAAUUUCGAACUCUAUCUCCCUAACAAGUGGUAAACCUGACAGCUCGUCUGGAAAAACAUCUAAAAACUCUCUCUAACUACGGGCACUGAAGCUGGUUCCCUAACCUGACUGCUAUGCUUUCUCACAAGAGCAAGAAACCCCCUGACAACCUUUUCUGAACAACUCACGAGCCUGUAGGGCUGAUAUCAAACCUCUAGGUAUCCCUACUCUGUCCCCUCAAAGGAUUACCUCUGAUCCACCCUGAUCUCUGAACCUGACUACCUUGCCUCUGCUAUCCAAGGUAGCACCAUGAGUAGAAAGCCAAUCCAUCCCUAGAAUGACGUCAUAAUCAGUCAAAUCUAGAACCACUAGGUCGGCUAGAAGGCAUUUACUCUCUACAUACUCUGAACUAUACUGACAGACUGACUCUGUCACAGAUGGAUCACACUUGGGUCCACUGACCCAAAGAGAACACUCUAACCCAGAAGCUAUCAACCCACUCUAUCUACGGCUCUCAAAGCAACAAGGAAAGAGAAACAUCAGGGUCCACUAAAACAUAUACAUCAGAACAUAAAAGAGUGAGAUUACCUGUCAUCACCAUGUCCAAUGUGUCAGCCUCCUGCUGGGUCAUGGCGAAGAUCCGUGCCGGAGCCGAUGGACCUUCUCCGCGGGAACCUGCUGAAGAAGGGGUUACCCCUCUCCUUCUGCCUCUGCCCUGCAUCGUGGCUGGAGCUACUGGCUAAGCUAUACUGUCUGAAGCUGUCUGCUGGGACCGUGCCAAAAAGGUCGCAGUGGGACACUCACGUGUCAUGUGCCCCUCCUGUCCGCACCUGAAACAUGUUGUUGUCCCAAUCCAACAGACUCCCUUAUGCGGCCUACUGCACCUCGUACAUCUGGAACCAUCCAAACCAGAGCUCGAACCAUCGCCUAAUCCCAGACCAGACUUUAACCUGUUCCAGAACUUGCUCUUCUUUGAUCUUCUGAGGCCUCUGUCCCCCUUUUUACUCUUUGCGGCAGCCUCACUCAGAGAGGAGAGAUCAACAUUCCCUGUCCCCGGGGUUUUGAAACCCGAGGAUUGUGCCACCUGUUGUUUCACUGUUCCUUGGAUGAUGGCACUAGCUUCCAUCUUUCGGGCUAUAUCCACUAUCGCAUGGAAACUCUCCCUCUCUGCUGACUGGAUCAAGGAGGAAUACCUGGAAUGAAGUCUCAUGAUAUACCUCCUAGCUUUCUUCUGAUCUGUGUCAAAGGUUUGCCCUGCAAAUGGCAACAGUUCCAAGAACUUAUAUGUGUACUCAUCUACACUCAUAUCCCCCGUCUGCCUUAACUGCUCAAACUCAAUCAUCUUAAGCUCCCUUGAACUGUCUGGAAAAGCCCAUCCUGCGAACUCAUUGGCAAACUGAUCCCAGGAUAAGCUCUCCAACCUUGGGUCCACAUAGUUUUUGAACCAUUCUCUUGCUUUCUUGCAUUUCAAUGUGAACCCCGCCAUCUGAAUGGCUCUACUGUCGCUUGCUCCUAGCUCAUCUGUUAUCAUCUUUACCGUUCUGAGAUACUCAAAAGGGUCAUCACCUGUUUUGAACUUGGGGGCAUCCAACUUUAGGUAAUCCGUCAUCUUCACUUUACCCCCAACCGAUGAGCUAGGUUUGGAUGUUUAGACAUCCUGGACUACUGGUUCUGCUGAUGGAGGAGGAGGCGCAGCAUUCCCUGGGUUAGGGUUUGCUGGACCUGGGAAAAAGGGUGAGGGUGGAAACAUGGGAUACUGUAGAUAUGGCGGGUAAAAGGAAGGAUAGGGCAUAAAGGUGGGAUAUGGGUUAUAGCUAAAGAAAUCCGAUGCAUUCCCCAUCGGAUACCCUGGCCCCUGUGGGUAGGGUGGAUACUGUGGUGGAACAAAACCCGAGACCUGAAUGUCUCCUUGGGACUCUCCCAUAUCCUCUCCUGACAUACUCAUGCCCAAGCUGCCAUCUCUUCGCUGUUCAUCCUCCUCUGAUCCCCUCAUAUCCGCUGACAUAUCACCCUGAACUGCUCCCCUUCUGCUCACAUCAAAAGACCUUCUAGGGUCCCUUGAUGUUCCUUCUCUGCUUGAUCUACAUGACAUUGCCCUUGGCAAUGCUGGGGGAUGGGCACCCAUGCCCUCAUUCUCUGGUGGUACUCCAGUCAAUCUUGCAGAUCGACGAGUGCCUCUCAUCCUAUUUCUCUGAAACACAACAUACAUCUCAUAGCAUUAGCAUCACAUAGUUCAUGUGGAAGCACAUGAACCCACAUCGCAUACAUAGCAUAUCAUACAAAUAUAGCAUCAUAUGGUCCAUGUGGUAACACAUGAAUCCUCAUCACAUACAUAUCAUAUCAUUAAUGCACAUGCAUUUUAUCAUUGCAUUUCACAUCAUCAUCAAGACAGGACUCGACAUUCUAUCCUAGUGGACAUGAUUUUUCCUAUUGUACUUGCCCUUCUAUGACCUCUAUGAGCCCGACACACUCUAGGUCUUACCAUGUGAACCUAGGGCUCUGAUACCAAUCUGUAACGACCCGGAAACCGGACCGCUACUGGCGCUAGGAUCCAGAUCGGCAUAAGGCCGUCGGGACCCGUAGCAAGCCUAACAUACAUCCUGUAUACCUGUUAAAUCCCAUACAUGAUCAAACAUAUAUAUAAAACUUUAAACUUUUUCUUUCAUUUACCAAGCUUAACCUGUGCAUGCACAACUCAAAAACAUAAAACCCCACACUGGAGCCCUCAUCAAAUGCUCCAAUGGGGCAACAUAACAUACAUCAAGCUUGGUUUAACAUAACUCAUCAUAAAACAUUACAUAUAGAUAAUGUAUAAAAAGGGAUUUACUAUAAACGUUAGGGCCAAGCACAAUACUAAACCUCAUUACAUUAUCUUACAUUACAUCACUUUACAUUAUCCAUGUCCACUACUAUACUGUUACAUGACAUAACUAUAACAUACCCUUAACCAUUACUCUUUUGACUCCCUGUGCUACCUCUGGUCCUGCAAAACUGGGGUUAAGAGAAAGGGGUGAGCUAAAAAGCCCAGUGAGCAUAACAAUAAAACAAUUCAUUAAAACAUAUGCUAUCAUGGAAUGCAUCACAUCACAAACAAAUCGCAUCAAGGAUGGAAUUGUCACCAAUACCCCUCUGCAUAACGUACCAGGUCUAGCCGUGCCAGGGGCGAUACGACCACACCUGGUUUUCUCUUACAUAUACAUAUCAUAGCAAGUCCAACUGUGCCAGGGGCGAUACGGCCUCACCUAAUCUUCUCUUACAGUCCAACUAUGCCAAGGGCGAUACGGCCUCACCUGGUCUUCUCUUACAGUCCAACUAUGCCAGGGGCGAUACGGCCUCACUUGGUCUUCUCUUACAUAUAACAUAGUGCUAGGGGCGAUACGGCCUCACCUGGUCUUUCCAUCUCAUAUCAUAUCAUACCAUCUCAUGUCAUAUCAUAUAGUCUGAUGUCAUAUCAUAUCAUAUUGAGGGCUAGAGGAUCAUCCAAUAUCCAUCCACAAUAACAUCAUCAUAUAAUGCAAUGCAACAUAUUCGUGGAUUCUAAUGCAACAACCUAUAAACAUGGCAAUCGUGAUGCAUGGACAUGCUUAAAAGUUAAUUUGCUUUAAAUAAAAGAGUUGUGUUCUACACCUCUGGCUACCUCUGGACUAACUCUGAAGCAGCUAACACUGCUGAACACCUCGAUUCCUCAGGUCCGAUCCUCUUGAAGAUCGAGGGUUGGUGCGAUCCCUAACUUGGAGAUGGGAGAAAUCUAGCUCCUUGGGUCUCCAAGCUCCAAAACUUAGUCUUAAGCUCAAAACUCUUAGCUCGAGAAUGGGGAGAAAACUCGCCCAUUUUCGGUCUGAGGGCCUUUUAUAGGUGGUCGGUCAACCACCUUCGGCGGCCUAAGUUGCUUCCACAACUUCACCACCUUCGGCAGCCUAACAUGCCCCCUAAACUAUCCCAUGUUCGGCGGCCGAACUUGAGAUUCGGCGGGCGAAAGAAAGCCACUUUCGGAAGCCUAACAUGCCUUCUAAACAGCCCCAUGUUCGGCGGCCGAACUUGAGGUUCAGCAGCCGAACCUGGGUUCUUCGCUCCUUGGUCUUUUCUUUCAAAACUCAAAUCCUUUCUAAUCAAAACCAUAAAAACAUGUAAAAACAUUCUAGAAAACCUUUACUUUACCCUUCUAGAGAGUUUCGACAUCCGAGAUUCCACCGGACGGUAGGAAUUCCGAUGCCUGAGUCUAGCAGGGUAUUACACUAUCCUCUAGUAGGAUUAAGAGACAAGACCAUGGCAGUGUUGGACACCAUCAACCUCCCCUUGUAACGACCCCAAAAUGGACCGUCACCGGCGCUAGGAUUCAGGUCGGCUUAAGGCCGCCAGAACCCGUAGCAAGCCUGCAAUACUCUCUGUGUACCUGUAAAACUCAUACAUGAUCAUACAUUUUCUGUGAAAAUAAAACUCUUUGCUGAACCAAGGCUUAACCUGUGCAUGCACUAUCUCUGUACUCUGUACUCUGUACUCUGUACUCUGUACCCCUGACUAGAGCUUGCUCUAGAUGGGUUAAUUCAUACCUGUUAAGCCUGGUGAUAAAACAUAUAUACAUAUACAGAUCAUGUAUGUAACAAAAGCUUUACAACACAACAAAACUAAGGCAAGCACAACUCUAACGUUAUACACAACUAUAACAUCUCUUUAAAAUUUACAUGUCCACUCUAUACUAUUACAAGCUCUUUUACUCUUUCUGUACGCUGCUGAACUGUCCCUGUACACAGAACACUGAACCUGCAAAACUGGGGUUAAGGGAGUGGGAUGAGCUCUAUAGCCCAGUGAGUAGAACAGUAAAAGAUCUCAGUAAAACAUGAUCUCAUGAAAUGCGUCAUAACACAGAUAAACCACAUCAAGAGUAAACCUGUCACCACAUAGUCCCAGUAACUCUGUGCCAGGGCGUAGAAUCGAGCACCUGGUCUUCCUGUCAUAUAUGUAUAUGUGUAUAUAACACCUCUGUACUUACCAUUGCCAGGGCAUAGUCAAAGGCUCCUGGUCUUUGCUAUACCUGCCAGGGCGUAGUCAAAGGCUCCUGGACUUGCUAUACCUGCCAGGGCGUAGUCAAAGGCUCCUGGACUUCCUGUCUGUGACUAUUGGAUCAUUCAGCAUUUACUCACAUCAACAGAUAACUAUGCAAUGCAACGUAUUCGUGGAUACUAAUGCAAUCAACCUAUGGCAUAAUCAUGAUGCAUGAGAUAUGCUAAAACAUUUCAUUAGUCAUUUCAAAGAAUUAAGCUUAGUUCCACUCACCUCUGGCUAACUGGACUGACUGACUCUGCAGGCUCUGAAAACGCUGGGCAGUACUCACUACUGCUCUCUCUGGUUCCUCUGGUCUGUAUAGGUACAGAUAAACUCACAUGAGGGACCAAACUAACUGCUGACCAACUCUAUUAAACUUCCCAAAACUCCCCUUCAACUCACUCUACACCUCAUGCAAAGCAUGCAAAGGAAAGCUGGACAGAACACUUUCGGCGGCAGGUUCGGCGGCCGAAAGUCUUCUCCAGAGACGAAACUCAAGCACCUUCGGCGGCACCUUCGGCGGCCGAAGUCUCCAAACAGAGCCGAACAUGCAAAACUCGCGGGGGCAAGCUGUGGCAGCCUAAGCCACCAUGCAAGAGGUUCGGCGGCCGAAUGAACCUUCGGCUGCCGAACCUGAGUUCAUCCAGAACUCAGCCCGACGGCAAACCAAGCUCUUCCUUCCCUUCAACAUCUCCAAACAUGCAUAUAUCAACUCCUCAACACUCAUAUACAUAAGUAUAUGUUCACAGGGGUCCAAAACUAUCUACUAACCCCAAACAACAAAUCAAACAUAACACAUAAACAUGGAUACAUCCAUAUAUCAUCAAAACCACCAUGACUACCCUAAGCAUGCAUCUCUUUCCUUAAUCCCCAUAAAACCUUCAGAAAACAUAUAACAAGGUCUGGAUCUUCCCUUACCUCUAUAAACAGGAAGAUGAACGGUCUGAACCCAAGGAAAACAGAUCAACUCUUCUUCAACCUUACGAACUCUCAACCCUCACCUUUUUGCUUCAAACUCUCACACUUUGUUGAACACAAGCUAACUCGUGCAUGAGCUACUCAAACUGAGCAAAUAAAACAUGGGAGACGUGACCACCUUCUGGACAUGAUCUGGUGAUUACACCUGUCCAAAAUGCUGACUAAGGGAUACAAAACUGCUGGCUCAGCAACUCAGCUUCGGCUGCCGAAGCGCAUGCAAAACCAUGCAACAUUCGGGGGCCGAACCUGAAUUCGGAAGCCGAACAUUGAGCACUUUCGGCGGCCGAACUUACCUUCGGCGGCCGAACUUGGCUCCUCUGCCUUGGGUCAUUUUAGCUCAAAACUUAAGUAAAACAGUAAAACACAUCAUAACCCUUAGUCAAACAUAAAGCCUACCCUCCUCUAGAAGUCCGACACCCCGGAGUCCACCGGACGACAGGAAUUCUGAUGCCGACUUCUAGCCGGGUAUUACACCCCUGGUGUUGGGUGAUGAGAGAUAUAGGCGAGAGUUAUACGCAGAGUUUGUGGUAGUAGACAUCCCAUUUGCAUACAAUGUGAUACUCAGCCGUCCAAUCCUAAACUGCCACAGUAUCAUUAUUAACAUGGAUGCUAUGUGUCUUAAGCUUCCAACUUUAUGAGGCAUAACAGUGGUCCGAGGUCAUCCAAGAUUAGCCAAAGAAGAUUACGGAUACCGAAUAAAAGCCUUGGCAAAGCAACCAUGCCCAUUGACUUACUGGAAAAAUCGGAAUCUCACGUAAAGCUAGAAACAACUGACCCGGUAGAGAAGGUCCAGAUAGAAAAGGAGCAGAAUGUAUGGUUCAGCACAGCACUAACCGGUAAAAUAAGGACUCGUCUGGUAGAAUUGUUGAAAAUCCAAGCGUUGACUUUUACCUAGUCUCCAAAAGAUGUAAUGGGUGUAGACCUGGCCAUUAUUACUCAUAAGCUAUCUAUUGACAAGAAUGCCAAACCAGUCCAAUAAAAGAAAAGAAGGUUCGCACCAAAGAUGCAUCAAGUGAUCAAAGAGAAAGUUGAUAAAUUUUUUAGUACAAGAUUAAUAAAGGAAGUACAGUAUCCCACUUGGCUGGCCAAUGUGGUUCUGGUAAAAAAAGCUAAUGGAAAGUGGAGAAUAUGUGUGGACUUAACCAACCUGAAGAAAGCAUGCUCGAAAGAUCAUUAUCCUUUUUCGUCCAUCAACAGAUUAGUGGACUCAACCUCAGGUCAUGCUGUGAUUUUUUUCCUCGAUGCCAUCUCGGGAUAUCACUAAAUCAUGAUCGAUAUCGAGAACACAGAAAAGACUGCAUUUAUAACAAACGAGGGAGUUUUUUGCUACAAGAUUAUGCCUUUUGGAUUAAAAAAUACAGGAGACAAAUACCAAAUGCCGGUGUCAUGAAUCUUUAAGGAUAUAGUGAGGUCAACCGUCGAAGUAUAUGUCGACGACAUGGUGGUUAAAAGUCGAUCAUUAGAAGAAUAUCCGAAGGGUCUUUGAUAUCCUGGACAAGGCGGGUAUGAAGCUGAAUUCGGAAAAGUGCACCUUCGAGGUAAAGGCUGGAAAAUUUCUAAGAUAUAUCAUCUCAGAAAGGGGCAUAGUAGUGAAUCUAGAGAAUAUCAUAGCCUAUCCAAAACUUGGAAGCACCUAAAAUCAUCAAUGAGAUACAAAGACUAAAUGGGGCCAAUCAUUGCUUUGGGCCAAUUUAUAUCUUGUUAAGCUAGAAGGUGUCUUCCAUUCUUCAAAACCUUGAAAGGUAAAGAUAAGUUUGAGUAGAAAAAGGAGUGCGUAGAGGCCUUUGAAAGUUUAAAAAUAUUUUUAUCCUCUCCUCCAUUGCUAAGCCCGCCUAUCGAAUGCAAAGUUUUAUUUCUAUAUUUGUUUAUAAAGCAGGAAACAAUUUGCUCGAUACUAGUUCGCGAGAGCAAUGGGGAAUAAAUCCCAAUAUAUUAUGCCAGCCAAGUUUUAAAAGGAGCAGAGUUGAAUUAUCCUCCUCUUGAAAAACUGGCAUUUGUAGUACUCAUGUCAGCUAUAAAGUUGUGGUCAUACUUUGAGUCACACACCAUAGAAGUUAGGACCGAUUAUCCCCUGCGAAUAGGGGUGUAAAUGAACCAAACCGUUCGUGAGCUAUUCGAGGUGCGAUUCAAUAAAAGCUCGAUCGAGCUCGACUCGAUUUCUAAACGAGCCAAGCUCAAGCUUAAUUUUUAGGCUCGUUUGGUAAACGAGCCAAGCUUGAGCUCCAUAGUAUUCGGCUCGUUAAGGCUCGUGAGCUCGACUCGUUUCUAAGUUCAUGAGCAGGCUCGCAAAUAGGCUCGUGAACAGUCUCGUUAAGUAAACUGAAAUUACUAUUAUAAGAGAAAUAAAUUCAAACCCUGCAUAUACUUUCAUUAGCCAAAUCUAAAUUUUUUAAAAUUCAGCUCUAUAUAGCUUAGUUACACUCUUAAACUUGCAUAUAUUUGGAUCAUUAAGAUUUAAAAGCUCAUCUUUAUAAGUUUACGUGCUAAUUUGUAGAUAUACUUAUUUAACUAAAAUUAGUUUAGUCCUAAACUUAUUAGUUUUAAACUAAAAUCCAUUAUAUAUGUAAAUAAAUUAAAUUACUCGUGAACUAUUCUCGACUAAGCUCGAUAAAAGCUCGACUCAGCUCGAUAAAAACUCGACUCGUCUAAGCUCAUUUGCUAAAUGAGCCAAGCUUGAGCUUCUUAAUACUCGGCUCGAGUUCGAAAUGAGUAAAGCUCAAAUUCGGCUCGAGCUCGAAAAAAUUUUAACGAACCAAGCUUGAGCUCUUCAAAACUCGGCUCGGCUCGGUUCGUUUACACCCCUACCUGCGAAAGAUUCUAUAUAGACCAAAGCUGACAGGACAGUUGUCCACCUGGACGAUAAAAUUAUCAGCCUACGGUAUCAGGUAUAUUUCCAUAAAGGCCAUGAAAGCCGAGGUCCUAGCUGACUUUGUGGCUAAGAUGACUCCACUGUUGGAACUCUCAGAGUCCUCUAAGGCAACCAUAGAAAAAUGGAAAGUUUGGGUAGAUGGAGCUUGCAGAGCAGGGAGUGUAGGAAUCAAAAUCCUUUUGCAAUCCCAAACCAGCAUAAAAUUUUGGUAUGCAGCAAAGCUCACCUUCAAAACCACCAACAAUGUAGCUAAGUACGAGGCAGUAAUAAUAUCCCUAAGAAUCAUCAAGGAGCUAUGUAUUAAAAAAUCAAUUAUUUUUAGCGAUUCACAAUUGGUUGUCAAUCAGUACUAGGGACAAUUCACGGUCCAAGAGCUAAACCUCGUCAAAUAUGAGGGAAAGGUCCGGUCCAUAAUGAAGGAAAUCAAGGACGAACAAGGUAGCUGCAAACUUCACCAAGUGGCCAGAGGUAACAAUGAAGAGGCGAAUCUAUUAGCCAAGAUGGCGUCGACGAGUGAACAAUACUUAACCAUUCCAAUUUGAGGAGUUGCACAUUCCGGCGACAGAAAUGGAAGAGUCUUUUCCAUAGAGGAAAGAGAGUCAUGGAUGACGCCCGUAUACAAAUUCUUGAUGCAAGAUGAUCUUCCAACUAAUGAAUUAUUAGCCAAACAGAUAAUUAAAAAAGCCUUCUAAGUAUGCACUAAUUGAUGGUUGGUUAUACAGGAGGUCCACCACACAACCAUAGUCGAUAUGUUAUGGAGGAGGAAGGCUUGAAAAUCCUAAAAGACAUCUAUGAAGGUGAAUGCAGGAGUCAUGAAGGAGCUCAAACAAUCACCCAAAAAACAUUCAGAGAAUAAUACUAUUGGCCCACAAUAAUAAGGAUGCGAAGCAAUUGGUCCAGAAGUGCCAAAGGUGCCAGGUAUAUGCAAAUAUCCCAAGGACACUAGGAGAAAUACAAGCGGCCAUCGGAAGUCUCUAGCCUUUUUUUUCAGUAGGGGAUAAACAUCCUGGGCCCUUUCCCUAAGACGUCUGGAUCAAGAAAGUUUAUUAUCGUGGCAGUAGACCACUUCAGUAAAUGGGCAGAAGCUGAGACAGUACAAUCCAUCACUACCCAACAAGCAAUUUAUUUUGUCAGUAAAAAUAUAUUCAUCUGAUUCGAAAUACAUAAAAUAAUGAUUACCAAUAAUGAAACUCAGUUUGCAAGCAUCAAGUUUAAAGACUGUUGCAAAAAAUAGGAGAUCGAUUUGAGGUUCGGUUCAGCUUACCACCCCAAUCCAAUUGUAUGACAGAAGUCACAAACAGGACUAUAUUACAGGAGCUCAAGAAAGGCUCGAUUGAGCCAACGGUAGUUGGCCCUAAGAAUUGCCUCACAUACUAUAGGAAUACAUAACUACUCUCUUGUAUAUGGGGCAGAAGCUGUCACCUCUGUAGAAAUACAAGUAAACAGCUUCAGAACACGACAUCUUGAAAUUUUGGAAUACCCUGAGGAAAUGCAAUUCAAUUUGGACCAAGCUAAAUUCUUGCAGGAAAAAGCUGCAAUAAGAAUAGCGGCAUACAGGAACAAAAUAUCCAAAAUUUUUAACAGCAAAGUCAGGCCGAGAGCCUUCAAUGUGGGAGACCUGGUCCUCAAAAGAGCAAACGUAAUAGGUGGCAGUGUCAGACCCAGGAAGCUACGAGAAAACUGGAAAGGACCAUUUAAGGUCACAAAGGUCAUUUGCCCUGUGAUGUUCUAAGAUCCAGUGAAAGGUGGGCUUAAGGUGUAUUUUGGUAAGUUUGGUCUGGUUUGUCUCCCCCUGCUUCCUUUAUUCCUUUUUCCCUUUGUCCUCUAGUGAUGUGUAACCGUCGUCCUGUGCCUGUACCUCCCAUCAUAGUCACGCUUUGACGUGCGUAUGGACGUACUGCCUUCUUUCUCAGUGUCAAGCGGCCAUUUAAUUUCAUCCAACACCAUGUGGACAUGAUCCCGGAUGUCACAGGAUCUGCUGCCCCACGAGUCUAGCAGGUUAAUAGAGUUGGGACUUCCACAUGUAGGCGCGAGCCCUGUCUGAUUUGUCCAAGCAAGUCCUGAGCUUAUAUGUAAGGCAGACCUAACUGUUGGGCCUUAAUAGAGUUGAGGCAUGGUCUUUCCAACACGGGCUCAACCAUGGCUGGGGUAUCCGGGGCCCAAUUAUCAUCAAGUGCCCCUUUGUCUGCUCAUUAAUAUGAGGGGAUAAAUCUCAAAACUCCAAUUAUUACUGCGGAGCUCUAGGAGAGUUCUUGUCAAAACGUCUCCCCUUUGCCUUUACCCAUUUCAAACUUACACUUUUGAUUUCACUUACUGCUUUGUGCUCUCAUAUUGCUUCUGCUAUCUUGCCCUUUCUUUUCCCUGUAAUUCCUGCCUUUCUAAACCAAGGUACGUCAUAUUCUUCUUAUGGCUUUUGCUAGAAUUCCCAAUGUAGUGGGUCUGGUGUCCUCUAUCACCCUUUCCUCUAUUUCUAAUUACUUUUCCAGUGACUAUUCUGAUACCACCAUCUCUAGGAUUAGGGCAGGCCUUCCUAAUGAGAUGAUUGUUCUCCCCUACCCACCACCGACGGGUCUAAUAGACACCCAUUAAGGGCGCAACCUAGUCUUUUUUGUCAAACAGUACGAUUUGAGGUUGACCUUCCCUUUUACCCCUUUCUUCAUUGAGGUCUUUCGUCAUUUUAGGGUGACUCCUCGAAUGUUGUCCCUUAAUUCCAUCUUGUUCAUGUGCUGCUUCGAGUCAAUUUGCAUGUGCUGAGGUUAACGCCACAGAGGUAACUGUUGAGUCUACUUUGGCUUCUGUGGCCGAGAUGUUGCGCGAGAAGAUGUUUGUAGAGGUCUCAGAUGCUUCUGAUCCCCACUUUCUUGCUCUUGUCAACCAUCUGGCCUCCUCCACCAGACAGCAAGUGGUCUUCAGUUCGCGAUUCCGGAAGGAUCUUGGGGACAAUGUGAGAGAGAUGCUCCUUAUGGUGAGUUGUCUAUCCUUCUCGAGAGUAUUUUUGUUCUUUUGGCUUUUUUUAACUUUAUUUUUGUGGUAGGCUUUGAGUGUGUUCAUGAAAAUUGAUACCUAGGACCAAUCUCUACAGAGCUCAAUGGACCAGCACAUCGCUGAGGUAUGCUGGGAGGAGAAUACAGUUGUGACUGGUGAGGCCCGCGGGCACAUCAUCGAUUUUCAAAAUCAAAUCGAGGACCUUACCAAACAGCUGUGGGAGAUGAGAGAGGAAGUCACUAGGGCUUUCCAACGGGCUUUUGCGGUGGAGACUCAGCGAGAGGAAGCCUUAGCACAACUGUCCACAUUGGAGGAGGCCUGUCGCCAACGAGACGAGGUCAGGGCCCAGCGCAACAAGGCUUUAGUUCGUGCUACUGUCCUCUAACAGGAGCUUAAUAAAUAUAUCGAGGACUUGAAGCGCAUGACUUCGGCAGCGGAAGAGUUCCGACUUCAGCAGCAAUAACUCCGUCAAGAGGUCUCUACCCUAGAGGAGAGGCAUACUUUGUUGUUGAGGGAUGCCCAGGCUGCAGAGAACAGAGUCCAACAGGCUUGUGAGGAGCAGUUAUAGGAGUACAAGGACUCUGCAAAGUUGAAGGAGAAAAUCCAAUAGGCCUGUGAAGCAUGACUCGAGGAGUAUAAGGCCUCUGCGAAGUUAAAGAGAGAAUAUACAAAGAGGCCUUCCAUAUGUUCGCUUCAAGCUUCAACCAGGACCUUAAAGCAGCUAGGGAUGCCCCCUCCGCUCCGUUGGCUGAUCUGCAAACCCCUGAAUUGAACUCUAAUGGUGAGGAGGUCUGUUACGGAGAGGAUGAUAACCCUUUUUUCCAAGAACUCUCCUCCUUUGCCUUCUAGACUAUAGGGGGGAAUUCUAUAAAUAAUAAUCUUGUAAAUAACUUAGUCAACUCUGCUCCCCUUCCCUUGCUAUCUCUGUAACCAAUUCCAAUCGUUAAUAAGAUUUUAAAAUUUUCUAUUAUUUUCCAUCUGUCCGCUUUCAUUCCCUCGUCUAUUUAAAUUUUAUUUAUAUUUAGACUGUUUUUAUAUAUGUGGCCGGCGAGCUAUGUUGGGCUGGUUACUCAUUUGCUUAUUUUGCUUUUAAAGCGUCUGACUUAUUGUAUUUUGUUAUUUGUUUAUCGAAUGCCUUAGUAUUUUGUUCCUUCUGUUCCCUUGCUGAGUUUUUGUUUGUUAUUGUCUCUAGUUUUCAUACAGCCCUUUCCCUUAGUUCAUAUUACUCCCAAGUUAUAUUUUUUACUUGUAUUUUGACAUUCGCGGAUUUGUUUGUGAAGUUAGUGAUGGGCCUUAAUUUUAUUUUGAUUUUGCUUUGGGUUUACUUCUCUAUGAGCUAAGGCUCUUUUUCGAGGACGGCGUUGUGCCUUUAGCUUUAUUUUUCUUUAAAUGUUAGGGGUGCCGAGCUUUUUUUUAUUUUUUUUUGAGAUCGGCACUCUGUUUUAAUCUUAUUUUUCUGUGAGCCAAUUCGAUACGAUUCAAUUUUUACACCAUCGUUGUUAAUUCCAAUUCGAUACAAUUUUUCAACUCGAUUCAAAACUCCCAAAACCGUACAUAAACCCUACUUUUUCAUGCAUAUGUCAUAUUUCCACUUUCCAGGGAUACCUCUUUUAUCCCCUUUUUCUUUAUACAUCUGUUUUAAUUGUUGAUUACACAAUUUAUUGAGACUUUUUUCUUUAUACAUCUGUUAAACAGAUUGUUGAUUAGACAAUUUAUUGAGACCUUUUCCCUAAAAGUAGAACUUCCAAUAGCGGUCUUCACUUAUGAUAAAUAAUGGUUGUUGCAAGUGAUAGAAAGUUAAUUGCUUAAGGGUUGGGGAUUACAAAUUAGAGUUAGAAUUAGAAGUUAGAGGUUUAGAUUUAGAAUUAGGUUUUAGGGUUAGGGACUAGAAUUCAAAGUUAGAAUGCAAGAUUUAAGAUUUAUAGUUUCGAUUUGUGAUUUAAGGUUUAGAAUUCAAGAUUUUGAAUGAUUAAGUAUAUAAAUUAGUAAAUUAGUUAUAUUUUGAAUGGUUUAAAAAAGAUACUAUUUGGGCAGUUACUUGUAGUUCUAGUGGAUGCUGAUGCUGGUAGUGAAGGCAUUGACACAUUCACAAGAAAAUACCGAUCUAUAGACAUGGAUCACUUUUGUCAAACAAGUAGAGACUUGUAUACAUGACGACCUUUUAAAAGAAUAUAACAAUCCAAUGUUAAUCCACAUAGAUUGUCUUGAAAGGGCAAGUGAAGUCACAACUUAUUCUCAUGAUAAAAGCUUCAACACAAAAGUACACCCGAGAGAAACUAAAUCUGGUAGCAGGGAAAAGAAAGGGGGAAGAGAUCGAGGGGAAACAAGCGAGAUUCGAUCAUCCCUACAAAACAGACAAAUAAAAGGUAACAACACAUCAGGCAGAAUGCAAUUGUUCAACUGUAGCCGGUAGGCAUAUGGUCAUAGAUAGAACUAUUUCAACAAUGGCAAAAAUAUUUUACCGUAAAUUACACUUUAAUUCUCAAAUUUUAACAUGAUUAAUGAAUCAAUCUCUUUAUUUUUAAAAUUAAAUAAUUAAAUUUCUGAAUUUUGAAUUCGAGAUUAAUUAAAGGUUCGUCAAUUUUCUCUGUUAGCUCAUGUUAAAUUAGUUAUGUUUUAAUUUAAGUGAAAACCCUAGCCUUUAACCCAAUUUCAUUCAUUUUCUUUUACUUCCCUUAAUUGCUUUUUCUCUACUUCCAAACCCAAUCCNNNNNNNNNNNNNNNNNNNNNNNNNNNNNNNNNNNNNNNNNNNNNNNNNNNNNNNNNNNNNNNNNNNNNNNNNNNNNNNNNNNNNNNNNNNNNNNNNNNNNNNNNNNNNNNNNNNNNNNNNNNNNNNNNNNNNNNNNNNNNNNNNNNNNNNNNNNNNNNNNNNNNNNNNNNNNNNNNNNNNNNNNNNNNNNNNNNNNNNNNNNNNNNNNNNNNNNNNNNNNNNNNNNNNNNNNNNNNNNNNNNNNNNNNNNNNNNNNNNNNNNNNNNNNNNNNNNNNNNNNNNNNNNNNNNNNNNNNNNNNNNNNNNNNNNNNNNNNNNNNNNNNNNNNNNNNNNNNNNNNNNNNNNNNNNNNNNNNNNNNNNNNNNNNNNNNNNNNNNNNNNNNNNNNNNNNNNNNNNNNNNNNNNNNNNNNNNNNNNNNNNNNNNNNNNNNNNNNNNNNNNNNNNNNNNNNNNNNNNNNNNNNNNNNNNNNNNNNNNNNNNNNNNNNNNNNNNNNNNNNNNNNNNNNNNNNNNNNNNNNNNNNNNNNNNNNNNNNNNNNNNNNNNNNNNNNNNNNNNNNNNNNNNNNNNNNNNNNNNNNNNNNNNNNNNNNNNNNNNNNNNNNNNNNNNNNNNNNNNNNNNNNNNNNNNNNNNNNNNNNNNNNNNNNNNNNNNNNNNNNNNNNNNNNNNNNNNNNNNNNNNNNNNNNNNNNNNNNNAGCCUCUUCUGAAACUUUUGAAGUCAUUUAUGUUGUUAUCUCGUACAUGUACCUUGUUUAGCUUCUCUUAGAUUUGUGAUUUUAGUUUUAUAGUUUUAAUUUUAAUAGGUGGUUCUGCAACUCAUUUUGGUUUAUGAAAGAAUCACCUUCAUAUGAAUCUAUCACCUUCAUUAAUUAUUACUGUUAACUUCUGAUUUUAUGGAAAGAAGGAUGUCCAAUUUAGACGGAUUCAAAACUCAAAAUUUAAGUGUUUAAUUCUAAAAUCAGGACUAAUACAUUAAUUACGCUAAAACUAAGAAACUAAAGUAUAAUUUAACUAAAGUAUAAUUCAUCCAAUAUUAUUUAUGUUGUCCUACCAUAGGUAACAAGCAUUUUGCAGAUCACAUAUCAUUCAAUUAACCUAAUUUUUUCUAAAAAAAAUUCCGUCUAUUCUAUCUAAGGCCACUUCCGCAGUAGUGGUCUACUCUCCUCCACCAACACUUAUCAAGAUACAGUUGCGGCCCAACGCUUGCAUCUGAGAUGCAGCAAACAAGCUCAUCAACAAUCAUGGUUGCGUAGAUAGUUUAGCACUUCCUACAAACACCUUCUUCUCCUUGACCAUCCCAUACUUAUCUCUUGCCGCUCACCCAUCUUUGUAACAUUUUCAUUUUACUAACAUAUUGCUCUGCUUGUUGACUAUUGAAUUUUACGAUAUCAAGAUAUUCAUGUAUAAUUAUGGAACAUGGAAUUAUAUCAGCAAUGAUCAAGCAACCGACCGAUGCUACAAACUAGAGUUAUUUGUUGUUUUAAAACCACAUAGCAGAUGCUAAAUAUGCAGAGUAACUAAGACAUGAUGAAUUAUGGAAUGUAUACUGGAGCAGCUCAGCACCAUAUGUUAUAGAUAUAUAGACAAAGCAGCAGCAGUAACUAAAAG